rnacentral:lncRNA from 1 species
AGGAAAACAGGAGCAAGCAAAUAAGAAAGAAGCAAAUUAUAAUCAUGGCUUCUACAGCUGAUCAGGAAGAAGAGACAAAUAAUUUUUCAUAUGCAAUGGAACUGGCAAGUGCCAUAGUGCUACCUGCAGCUAUGCAAGCAGCGGUAGAGCUUGAUGUGUUUGAGAUCAUAAGCAAAGCUGGUCCCGGUGCUAAGCUUUCGGUUUCGGAAAUUGUGGCUCAAAUUCCCUUAAAAGGUAAUAAUCCUGAAACUGCAGCCAUGACGUUGGAGCGGGUGCUGAGGCUGCUUGUCAGCUACAAUGCUCUUCAUUGCUCUUUUGUUGAUGGACAAAGGCUCUACUCUCUUGCUCCUGUUUCUGCAUACUUCGUUCGCAAUAAUCAAAACGGCGCGUCGUUGCGUCCCUACAUGGCCUGGUGUCUUGACAAGGUCCUCAUGGAUGGCUGGUAUAUAGAAUUACUUUUUCUCUUUUCUUUUCUUUGCUAAUUUUAGUAAAUUAAGGAAAAUUAUCAAAACCUUCUAGUUGUAUAUAUCCAAAAAUUAAUCAUUUGUAUCACAUGUUUUGAACCCAUCAAAAUCCGUCAGCUGCUAAAAAGACAGCUAUCUUCAAUUAUUUUAUUUUGUUGUGGUAAAAAACAAAAAAAAAAGCUUAAAGUCCAAGCGUUUUUGAAAUAUGAAAGUAGAAAGGAUUGAUUGUAACAAACAAUUAAUAAAGUAUUCUUUAUCUUGGUUAAUUAUGCGGUCUAAUUUUACAAACUAAGCUUCUAAAAUUGUUACUAACUGUGUUUGGAUUUUGGAAAAUUCAGGUUUCGGUUGAAAGAGCAAAUUCUUGAAGGAGGAAUGGCGUUUAAUAAAGUGCACGGAAUGGAUAUGUACGAUUACAUGGGCGUUGACUCAAGAUUCAAUGAUGUUUUCAACAAUGGAAUGUCAAGCCACACUUCUGUCGUCAUGGAGAAGGUCCUAGAAUCAUACAAAGGCUUUGAGCAUGUUAAGAAGCUUGUUGAUGUUGGCGGCGGCUUAGGAGCUACUCUUAACAUGAUAAUUUCUAAAUACCCUCAUAUUAAGGGUAUUAAUUAUGAUUUACCUUAUGUUAUUAAAAAUGCCCCAUCUUAUCCUGGUAUGUUACUUACAAAAUUUAUAAAGUAUUUUUGUUAAUGAUUCAUUGAGAUACACGAUAGCUAACAAUUUUUUUUUUUUUUUUUUUUAAUUUCAGGCAUUGAACAUGUAGGUGGAGACUUGUUUGAAAGUGUUCCUGAGGCAGAUACCAUUUUCAUGAAGGUUAUAUGUGUGUGUUAUUUGAAAUCAUCGUUAUAAGGAAAAAUCAAAAAUUGAUAUAGGGUGAAUCACACUUUUUCCCCUAAUAUUUUGUGGGUUGACUUUGGCCCGUUACUCAUUUGGUAUUAAAAUUUUCACAAAAACACUUAAAGGGAAUACCAAAUAUUAUGAAAACAGUAAAAAAAAAAAGGGGGGGGGGGGGGGGGGGGUGUAAAACUGUCUCUCUCUUUCUUUUUCUCUAGUUGUAAAGGGGUGGCCAAAGCCCAAAUUGAUUAUUUAAAAACCACUGGACUAGCUCCUGAUGCAAAGUGUCAAUCUUUCUGGAUUAUAUACCUACGUUUUGUUCAAUAAUAUAAAUUGAUCAUAGAUAUUCAGAUUAAUAGAUCUAAUGAGAAUUAACAUGAAUAUUAAACUUUUGCAGUGGGUCCUUAAUGGUUUUGAUGAUGAGCAGUCCUUGAAAUUGUUGAAAAAUUGUUACAAAGCUCUUCCGGAUGGUGGGAAGUUGCUUAAUGUUAAUGCAGCAUUUCCAGAAGUGCCUGAGAAUAGCGCGACUUCAAGGGAGAUCUCCCUCUUGGAUACAAUUUGUUUAAUCCAAGUUCCUCAUGGAAGAGAGCGGACCAAACAAGAAUACAGUGACUUAGCAAUCAAAGCUGGAUUUAAAGGCGUCAACUACGAAUAUGGUGCAUGCAAUUUAUAUGUUAUGGAAUUCCUCAAAUAAUAAAUUGCUUUACUUGUACUAGGAAAGGUCUUCUCAACUCUCUUUGGGGAGUUACAAUUUCUGGUUUGUGUUAAUUUUUCUCUUAUGUACUCUUUUUCAUCCUAUAAGCAUCUGUCUCUUUAAGGGAGAUUGACUGCCUUGUAAGGUAGCUCUUAUGUAAUAUUUUCCAUUUUUAUUUUUACUGUUGCAGCAUGUGAUACCUUUUUUUUAUCGAGGAAAAAAAUAGUGUAUUCAUCUUACAUUGUUAUUUUUUUCUUUUUUAAGUUAUUGCAAAGUUAUGUUGUGCAAAAAUCAGCAAUAUAUAAUUAAUAAUUUAAUGUAAUAAAGUUUGAUUUUUGAACGUAGUAAAAUAUACAGUAACUGAAUCGAAUAAAAUCUGAAAAAAUAUUGAAAAUGGAUUAUAGAGAUAUUAAUUUUUCAUUAAACAACUACUGAGAGCUAAUGAUGUAGGGCGUUAUUUUAAAAAUUUUAAGAUUUUAGAAUUUAUUAUUUUAGAACUUUAUAUUUUAAUUAGAGUAAUUUUGGUAUUUUAUUAAUUUACUACUUUCUAUUUUCAUUAGAGUCAAUUAAGUUAUGAGAUUUAGUUAACUUAGGAAAAUACCUUUUUAUUUCCAUUAUAAUUAUGAUUUAGUUUCCUAUUUUUAAGUUAACUUAGGGAAAAUAUAUUUUAUUUUUAUUAUAAUUAUGAUUUAUUUUUUCUUUUUGAGUUAGCUUAAAAGAGUGAGUUUCUCUAUUAUAAAUAGAGAGAUCUUAUCAUUAUUCUAUAAACUUUUAUUCCAAAAUUUAUUUACUCUAUCCUCUUUACAAUUCCUCUUCGUCAACUAAUAUAGAUCAAAGGGGUUAAAAAAAAAAGGUAGAAGUCUUUCGAAACAAGUGACAGAUGACAACACAAUCAGAAUAGAAGUAAAUAACAUAAGUUAGCACUGGCAAAAGGAUUUCCAGCGUUUCGUCUAAGGCACAAUAGACCCAACGGUUGAUAGAACAAAACAAAUAGUUGAUUUUUGUAAUUAUUGUGAAUAUAGUCUUUUGUUUUACAACGCAUUAAAUAUGUUUAUAUAUUUUUUGUAAAAGUCAAGCAAUGAGAUGUAGAGAACGAUUAUUGUUUUCACCAUAUCGAGUACCUCAAAGAUUAUCUCAAAUAUUUUUCAUGUUCUGUCUGCCUUCUAGAGGUGCACAGUGAUGGGUGAAAAGAGGAAAAUGAAAAAAGAUUUAAAAAAAAAUUAUAACUUCCUUUAAUGCGGGGUCGUUUUGGUUCGAUGUGUGUUGAAAAUUUUUUCGGGUGCUAGCUGUCGCUAUCUCCGACUUCAAAAAUCUUGUCUUAAAAUAUUAAUAUAGGCCCCAAGCCUAGGGAUGGCAAUGGGCACCGUCCGCAGCGGGUUUGCCAUUACUAAACCCAAACCCGCACAAAAUUUAAAUUACCAAACCCACCAGCAACCCGCAACGGAUUUUAAUUUUUUUUUAAAAACCCACCCGCAGCGGGUUUUAACAAUUACCAAACCCGCAAUGGUACCCGACGGAUUUUUUGCGGGUUUCCGUAUUUAAAAUCACAAAUGUUUAAUAUAUAAAUUUAUAAUAAUAACCUCAAAUUCCAUAUAACACACUCAAUUUUAUAUUUAAACAAUGUAAAUGAAAAAUUAAAAUUUCCACAUUAAUCCAACACAAAUUCUUAAAUUUAAGUAUAAAUUACACAAAUUCAUUUAAAAAACACAAACUAGUAUCUAAAAAUAAUAAUUACAUUUCAUAUUAUCAUUUAAAACAAGCUCCAAGAGAAGAUAUUCAUUUCAUUCACUACUAUAAGCACCCAUCCAACACAAUGCCUAUAAUAAUAAUUAAGAUUAAUAUUUUUAAAUACUAAUUCGAAGGAAAAUGCCUUUAGUUUUCUUUAGGUUAUGACUUUAGAAUGAGAGAUGGGCCACAUACACGCAUACACAACUUUGAACAUUUGGCUAUUUGGUAAUUUGAAUAAUGACAUUAUUUUCUUUAUAUAUUUUUAGAUUAAAAUUAAAUUAAAAAUAUUUGGAAAAAAUAUUACGGGUUUGGUGGAUAUCCAUGCGGGUAUCCACCGGAUAUAAGGUUAAUACCAAACCCACCCGCAUCCAUGUGCGGGUUUUAGUUUAUAAUACUAAACCCGCCCGCAACGGAUAAAAUUACCCGCAGCGGGCGGGUUUUGGCGGGUGGGUUUGGACGGAUUUACGGGUUUGCGGGUAUAAUUGCCAUCCCUACCCAAGCCCCCAUCCACUUUGCCUCUGUGAUUAAGAACCUCAUUCUUUGUCUUUUAGCUAACCCACCGCUGCUUUAUAAGUCGAUAAUUUUGUUUUUUGUUUUUCUUUUUUGUGUCAACUCAAUUGAAAGCUCUGCCCACUUGUAGAAAAAUCCCAUAAUGGGUUCCACUAGGUUACAGCAGUGGCACGUAUAAUUUCUUUUUGUCUUCUGUGACAUAUUUUCAUGUAACCCCUCUUAUUUAUUUUUAUUUAAUAUUUAUUCCAUAAGUAUUAAGUUAAUUUCUACCUACACUUACAGCUACAUUUCGGUUAGCUCUUUAUACUAUUUUAUAUUUACAGAUAUUUUGUUCAAUGUUGCACAUGUAUCACAAUGCCCCCUCUUUAUUAUUUUGAAGUUAAAUCAUUGACAUGUUUAAUUUAAAACCUUACACUCCUUUUUAAUCAUAAUCUUUUUAAAUAUUAGGGUUUUUUUUUUACAUUUACUACCAAAUUUCAUUUAACACCUUACAUUCUUUUUAUUUCGAUUUUUUUUUAUAAAUAUUAUGAUAAUUUUUUCUUGUAUUCAUAACAAAUUAUAUCAUCUCAAUAGUUCUAUUACAAAAAGUAUUAUAGUUUUUCACACUCUUAUUUUUAUUAUGUUAUUUAAUUCAAGUAUUUUUAUAUUAUGGGUGCAUUUAUAAGUUAUAACUACUUUUUCCUUUAUUUUCAUCAUUAGACUUAUAACUGUUUUUUGCUAUAUUCAACCUCUAGACUUGUGAUUUUGUUAGUAAUCAUGUGUUGUUUACUGUUAUAUUUUUUAUUAGACCAAUAAUAUUUUCUAGGUUUUGUAUGGUUUAUCAUGUAAUUUUACAUGUAACCAUAUACUUGUUUUACCUUGGUCUGGAUUUGGGGAUUUUGCAAUAUUUAUGGACACAUGGUGCAUUGUAAGUGGCUAUAGAUUUUAGCACUUACAAGAUAUAUUAACUAAUAUUAUUUAAACUUAUUAAUAAAAGAAAUUUAAGUAAUUAAUAGAUAUAAUUAUUAUUAUUAGAAAAUUUUAAUUUAUUAUAAUUUAAUUUGAUCAUCAACUACUGUAUCAAUUUGGCAACCGUAUUAAGCAAACAAUGAGGCAAAUCUUAGUGUUACUUUAUUAUAAUUGUUAAUGUUAACUACAAUUUUAUGUGAACCUGAGUAGCUAGAAAAUAUAAAUAUGAAUUAGUUUGUAAUAGAACUAUUAGGAUUACAUAAUUUGCUAAGCAUGUAAGUAAAAAGUACUAUAAUAUUUAUUAAAAAAUUUGUAAUAUAAAGAGUGUAUAGUAUUAAAUGAAAUUUUAUAGUGGAUUUAAAAAAAUCCUAAUACUUAAAAAAAAAAAGAGUUUAAGGUUCUAAAGUAAACAUGUCAAUUAUUUAAUAUCAAAACAGUAAAGAAGGGGUAUUGUUAUACAUGUGUAAUAUAGAAUAAAAAUUUAUAAAUAUUAAAUAUGUAAGGUGCUAAUUGAAAUGUGUCUAUGGAUGCAGGUAGAAAUUAACUUCGUAUUUAUGAAGUAAAUGUUAAAUAAAAAUGAGUGGAAGGGGUCAUAUGAAAUAUUACAGUGUACCGCCACAAAAGACAAAAUAAGUUCCACGGUACUCCUUAUGUAACAUAGCUGAACCCUACUUUUAAAAAGUAUUAAAAAUUGUAACUAAUUUUAGUUUACGCCAGCUGGAAUUUGUAGAAGCGAAUUCCAAUCAUGCCUGGUGUGCAAUUAAUAACAUGUGGGCGAAGACAAUUUGGGAGCUUGGAACUCUCCAAACUCCAAUGAGAUAAUAAAAUAUGUUAGUUAAUCAGGCUUUUUAAAUUUGAAUAGCAACAUCAAGUAUGUACAAAUGAAAGAAAUUUGCUGAGGGGGCUCCAGUAAGACGGAUGUGAUAGCUAAGUCCUCAUAAUUCAAUUAAAAAUUUCUAAUUUUACUGAAAUGAAUCAAUUAGUUGUUUAAAUAACAUGGAGUUUUAUAAUUGGGAUAAAUUAAUGAUACUAGUAAGCAUCUUUUGGUGAGAUGUCAUUUUUGAAAUUGCUCAAUCAUUAAUUCGGACAUCAUUGAUGGGGCUUGAGAAUGAGAUUUUAGCCUCUCUUAAAAAUUAUAUAUCACCACUUGAGUUAUUAAUAAAUUUUUUAUAACUCAUUUAAUUUUUUAUAUAAAAAUAAUACAAUAUUUAAAAAAAAAACAUAAUUGAAGUGUUAAUGUAAAUUCUUGACAAACAAAACAAUCUAGUUUUAAUUUGUGGAUAGGGUUUUCAUAUUCAGUUGCGGACCUAAAAAUUUUUUAAAACCCUUUGAGUUUUUUUUUUGUUUUUUAAAUUUUCCUAUAAUAAUAUAUAUAUUUUUUUAUUUUUUUAUAUAUGUCCCCAAUUUAAUUUUUUUUAAGAUUAGUGUUAGAGACUUAUUUUAUAAAUAAUUAAAUUAUUUGUCUUGAAUGAAUUGAAAGGUUAAAAUAUCAUUACCACUUUAACUUACAAAAAUGGUUAUUAUUUGGUCUAAUUGAAAGAAAAAUAUGCAUUAAAAAAUUGCCACUGUUUUUGAAAACUUAGAAAAUGUCAUAUAUUAACAACUAGCAAUAUUUUCAUAAUUUCAUGGUUUAUUUCCUUCACAAUCAUACCUUCGCUUUUUCUUUUCAUUAGAUCAAAUUAUUUAAAUAUGUUACCUUCUCUAUUAAAUGAUUAACAAUGAAUUUCAUAAAUAUUUUUAUAGCACAAUUUUAGUAAUUUAUAAUAUAAGCUUAUUUGUUGUACUGUUGCUGUUUAUUUCAUCAAGUAUAUGUAUUUUAUUAAGAUUUUUAAUGUUGUGUUACUUUGCAUAGCUCGUUAUAUGAAUUUUUUCACUCUUCUUCAUGUACUAACUGUUAUACAAAUUUUAAUGUACUCGCAAGUAUACAAGUCUACUGGAGCAUAGAUUAAGAAUAACAAGGUUGAACCCAUAGGAUUGUUAAUUUUUUAAAAGAAAAAUCUAAUCUAAGCUAAUUAUAACUCUACCCCAGUUGAGAAGAAACUACUGUGAAAAUAUAAACAAAAAAUACAAGAAAAUUAAAAUCCAGAAAAUUAAUACAAAACUUAAAAGAUUGAAGUUACUAGGAUUGUAGAAUUGAACAAUUCAACUUAAUAAUUUUCUAAUUACCAAUCAAUUUCUAAAUCUAGAGUGACAACAAAAAAUCAAUCUAUAUCUAUUUAUAGAUAUAACAAUUAACUCCAAAUAAAAUUAAUCUUAUAUAAAUUCUUUUUCCGCUUAAUAGUGUAGUAUCUAAGCAUCCCAUGUAAAUAAUAUUGAAUAACAAAGAUUCAAAAUUUUUCUAAGCAUUAUGUAUAAAUAAUUUAAUAAAAUAAAAAAAUAAUCACAUGAACCUUAGAGACCUAAGCAUAGGUUUAGUCAAAUAUUAAUUUUAACAAUAAAUAAUGUAUGACAGAAUUGUAAGAAAAAAUAACACAGUGAGAUAACAAUUUAAACAGUAGUUAAUUUAAACAACAAUGUAAACCAACAAUCGAAAACAACAAAUGAAGAAUAGAAGAGUAACCGAAACAGAAUUCAAUAUAUGCAAUUAAAUAGUUAAUCUUACUCAUGCAUGGUUAAGUGUUAAUAUAUAAACACUAAUCCCUAGGCUUAUUUUUCCCAUGUGGGAUAAGCCUCAUUUCCUUUCAAAUUUCCAACUUCAAGGGUGAACUUUGAGAGACAAUUUCUCAUUCACCCAAGCACCAUUUUGAGAAAAUAAGAUUAUACUUUUAAAGAAUCAACGGAGUAGAAUCCAAACCUCAUAAGAUUUUCCACUUUCAUUAAGUGGGACCCACUCAAAAUGUGCCCUCAAAAUAACAUAUAUACAUGCUAUUUUUUCAACAAGAAUUAGUGAAAAGAUUUAAUAAUAUCUAACUAAACAUAUAAAACAAGAACCAUAGGUAUUAAAGCUCAUAUAUAGAGAAUUAAUUAAAAAAGUAAUUUAUUUUAUUGAGCAGUUAUCAUCACUGACCAUAGUAUAAACACCAGAAAUAAUGCAUGACAGAAUUCCCCUAAAAAUAUCCGAUGGAUUCAUUCUUCAAAGAGUGUGGUCAUUGCUAAAUGUACAAGAUGAUAGUUGGUAGUUGUUGUCUAGUAAUAUGUAGAUCCCAAAUUGAAAUUGAUUUAAAAUCUAGGAGGGAUUAUCGCUCCUGCAAAUGUUUUAUUUUAAAAUUUAUCUAUUUAAUCCAAUGACAAAUAAGUUUUUCUCCCAUCCGUUUUAACAGUUCGAACAAAUAUUUUGUUUUCAGUUCAAGAAAUUUUAUCAAUUACGUUAAUAAUUAGUCCUAACAUGAUUAUUUGAUUUUUUUUUAUUUCUUCAGUUCGUAUUGUUUGAACUAGUUUACAUGACGAGUAGUGCAAUGGGUCCAUAUAUUAUAUAUGAAUGGGAAUUUAUCACUAAUAUAUUAUAUAUGUGUCCAUAUAUUAUACUAUUCGUGGUCAAUAGCUGUAGCCAGGAGUGGCUCUCCUUGUUGAUAAACUGAAAUUAGCGCAAACCUUGAGGACAGGCAUGAAAAAAUGGGAACACGAGCAUGAUUUGUGAUGAGAUAUAAUAUAGUUGAACCCAUGCCUUGACUGAUUCAAUAGAAAGGAGGGAAAAAAGAAGGAAAACAGGGGCAAGCAAUAAAGAAGAAGCAAAUUAUAAUCAUGGCUUCUAUAGCUGAUCGGGAAGAAGAGACAAAUAAUUUUUCAUAUGCAAUGGAACUGGCAAGUGCCAUAGUGCUACCUGCAGCUAUGCAAGCAGUGGUAGAGCUUGAUGUGUUUGAGAUCAUAAGCAAAGCCGGUCCUGGUGCUAAGCUUUCGGUUUCGGAAAUUGUGGCUCAAAUUCCCUUAAAAGAUAAUAAUCCUGAAGCUGCAGCCAUGAUGUUAGAUCGGGUGCUGAGGCUUACGUUAUUGACUUAAUUAACGAAUAGACCCUAGUGAAUAGGAAUAUCAAUUAAUUACAAAUGAAAAAAAUUUGCUGAGGAGUCCGAAUUUGAUGUACAUGAUAGCGAAGUCCACAUAACUCAAUUAAUUGUUUAAGUAACUGGGAGUUUUAUAAUUGGGAUAACGUGUAGUUUGAUAUUGUAAGUUACAAUCGUAAAAUAUUUAAUAAAUUUUUGAUGUUGUAAUUUAAACGUUAAGUUGAAUUUAUCACAUACUUAUAUGUAAAAAAAAACCUAUAAUAUAUUUUUGUCUUUUUUGUUAAAAUUAUUUGUUACAUAUUUUUUACUUUUAUUUCAUUUAUAUAUGUGUGUGUGUGUCAAAACACCUCAAUCUGAAACAUGGUCUUAAUUAAUAAAACAUUGUCAUUUUAUUAAUUAAUAAAACACCUCAAUACCUAGCAAGUAGCAAGCCACACAUGAUUUUAUUUUGUAUAUAAAAAUUUGACACUCUUUAAUAUUGUGUUUUUUCGUUUAUGUUUAUUAUGAGCUCGACUUUUUGUUUAUGAAAAUUUGACAUUCUGUAACUUUGGCGGGUUGGUAAGUGUAUAAUGAGCUACACUUAUUUAUUUAUUUGGAAAAAAGACACCUAUUUACAUUUGAGAAAAUAGUCAUAAAGACAUCUAAAUUUUUAAAAAGGGACUCCAAAUCUCCUUUUUAACUAUAAUAUCCUUUGAUUUAGUAAUUAAAAAGUUGACUUAAAUUUUUUUUAAUUAAUACAAAUUUAAUAUAAGUAAUAUAAUCUAUCUAGUACACUAAUAAUAUUAAAUUAUUUUUAACGUUUAAUAUAAUAUUAAAAAUUUAAAUUAUUACAUUUAUUUUAAUAAUACAUUUGCAUUUAUUAUAUAGAUUUUAAAAAUCUCUGUAUUAAAUAUAUUUUGCAAUUAACAGAAUAUAUCCCUAUUAAUAAUAUUAAUAUUAUUUUUUACAUAAUAUUUGAAAUAAUUUUAAUCUUUUAUUCUAAUAUUAUGUUUCUAUAUAUUAUUAAAAAUUACUUUAAUUAUAAUAUAAUUGGUCUAAUAUAUUGUAAAAUAUAAAAAUAUUUUAUAAAUAUUAAAAAUAUUUUCAAAUGUUGAUAUUAUUACAUUUAUUUUAAUGGCAUAUUUCUAUUUAUUAUAAAAUCUUAAGGUCAAUUAUUUUGGUUUUAUAAAGUCAAAAGGUAUUAUGAUAAAAAAGGGUUCUUGGUGUCCGUUAUUGAAAACUCGGGGUCCUUGUAAUCAUUUUCCAAAACCGUGGGGGUGUAGGUGUCCUUUUCCCUAUUUAUUUUUAUAAAAAUUAAGGUUUUUUUUUUUUUUUAAAGCAAGAAAUCUAAUGAAUUAAUUCUUCAAAGAGUGUGAGGAUCAAAAACUUACUCUAUGGUUAUUGCUAAAUAUGAAAUAAGAUAAUUGACAUAGUUGUUAUCUAGUAUUAUAUCGAUCCCAAAUUAAUAGGUUCAAACAAAUAUUUUGUUUCAGUUCAAGAAAUUUUACUAAUUAUAUAUGUUAAGAAUUACUAAUUUACAUGUUGUGUUAAGUUUUUGGACAGAGAAAACUAAGGUAGUAUAUGUUCUUUUAUCUAAAAUCUAGAUGGAUUUGAAUGUAAUUGAAGUCUGAAUGAAUCUGAAUGCAUAUGUCAGAAUAACAUGUUUGUUUUUUAUUUUUUGACAUCUAGUGUAACGGUAAAUUGUUAUCUAUUUUUAUAAACUCAAAAUAUUUUAAAUCCAAUAUUUUUAUACUUAUGAUCUUGAAAGUGUUAUAUAUACCUGAAAUUUUUAAUAGGUAUAUAUUUAUAAUGUUUUCUUAACUAAAUAAGUUCAUGCAAUUGAUUGUUAUUAUUAUUGAAUAACUGUUUUUAGGUUGCCUUUAUUAGUUUAACAACAAUGGUACUUCGUCAAGAGAAUGAGUUACCAUUAUUAUUAAUAGGUCGGCGGCGACCAUUUUUUUUUCAUUUUUAGCUCACUGAUAAUUGACAUGGAAUAACGAUGUUUUAGAUAUAUACGAUAUAUUUUAGAUAAUCACACGUAUUUGUAUAUUUUAAAAUACUUAUCAUAAUGUCAAAUAUUUUUAUAUUAUUAUAAAUUGUUGAAAAAUUAUUUUAGAACAAUAUAAAAAUAUCUGUAUACAUGGUAGUCAAACAACAAUUUGAGCAUUGCUAUUAUUUUCCGAAAAUGUAGCUAAGUUUUCUGAAUGAAGAGUGUCCCUUGGAUUCGGUUGGAUUUUAUGCCGCACGACAGAAUUGCUGUGGCCGGAGGGUAAUGUUGUCGCAGUGGGCAAACAAUAAUUGACAUUUCACAUUCGGCUAUUUAUGAUGUAGGCCCAACUAUGUGUGUCCAACUUUGGAGGCUAUUAGGUAUAUGAUAUAUCCAAUUAAUAAGCUCCGCUUAUUUAUUUAUUUUUAUAAAAAUUCAGAUUUUUUUCCCCUAAAAAUAUCCGAUCGAUUCAUUCUUCAAAGAGUGUGCUUACUGCUAAAUAUACAAGAUGAUAGUUGGCAGUUAUUGUCUAGUAAUAUGUAGAUCCCAGAUUGAAUUUGAUUUAAAAUCCAGGAGCAUCGUUCCCGCAAAUGUUUCAUUUUAAAUUUUCUUUGUUUAAUCCAAUGGCAAAUAAAUUUUUCUCGCAUCCGUAUUAAUGGUUCGAACAAAUAAUUUUGUUUUCAGUUCAAGAAAUUUUAUCAAUUUUGUUAAUAAUUAGUACUCACAUAAUUAUUUACUUAUUUUUUUUUAUUUCUUCAAUUCUUAUUGUUUGAAUUAGUUUACAUGAUGAGUAGUGCAAUGUGUCCAUAUAUUAUUUAUGAAUGGUAAUUUAUCACUAAUACAGUGACAUUUCAUCCCGGAGUGGCUGUCCUUGUUGAUAAAUUGAAAUUAGCGCAAACCUUGAGGACAGGCAUGAAAAAAUGAGAACACGAGCAUGAUUGGUGAUGAGAUAUAAUAUAGAUGAACCCCUGCCUUGACUGAUUCAAUACAAAGGGAGGAAAAAAGAAGGAAAACAGGAGCAACCAAUUAAGAAAGAAGCAAAUUUAUAAUCAUGGCUUCUACAGCAGAUCAUGAAGAAGAGACAAAUAAUUUUUCAUAUGCAAUGGAACUGGCAAGUGCCAUAGUGCUACCUGCAGCUAUGCAAGCAGCGGUAGAGCUUGAUGUGUUUGAGAUCAUAAGCAAAGCUGGUCCCGGUGCUAAGCUUUUGGUUUCGGAAAUUGUGGCUCAAAUUCCCUUAAAAGAUAAUAAUCCUGAAGCUGCAGCCAUGACGUUGGAUCGGGUGCUGAGGCUGCUUGUCAGCUACAAUGCUCUUCAUUGCUCUUUUGUUGAUGGACAAAGGCUCUACUCUCUUGCUCCUGUUUCAGCAUACUUUGUUCGCAAUAAUCAAAACGGCGCGUCGUUGCGUCCCUAUAUGGCCUGGUGUCUCGACAAGGUCCUCAUGGAUUGCUGGUAUAUAGAAUUACUUUAUCUCCUUUCUUUCCUUUGCUAAUUUUGAUAAAUUAAGGACAAUUAUCAAAACCUUCUAGUUGUAUAUAUCCAAAAAUUAAUCAUUUGCAUCACAUGUUUUGAACCCAUCAAAAUCCGUCAGCUACUAAAAAGACAGUUAUCUUCAAUUAUUUUACUUUUGUUGUGGUAAAAAACAAAAAAAGUUUAUAGUCCAAGUGUUUUUGAAAUAUGAAAGUAGAAAGGAUUGAUUGUAACAAAUAAUUAAUAAAGUAUUCUUUAUCUUGGUUAAUUAUGCCGUCUAAUUUUACAAACUAAGCUUCUAAAAUUGUUACUAACUGUGUUUGGAUUUUGGAAAAUUCAGGUUUCGGUUGAAAGAGCAAAUUCUUGAAGGAGGAAUUGCGUUUAAUAAAGUGCACGGAAUGCAUAAGUACGAUUACUUGGGCGUUGACUCAAGAUUCAAUGAUGCUUACAACAAUGGAAUGUUAAGCCACACUUCUGUUGUCAUGGAGAAGAUCCUAGAAUCAUACAAAGGCUUUGAGCAUGUUAAGCAGCUUGUUGAUGUUGGCGGCGGCUUAGGAGCUGCUCUUAACAUGAUAAUUUCCAAAUACCCUCAUAUUAAGGGUAUUAAUUAUGAUUUACCAUAUGUUAUUCAAAAUGCCCCAUUUUAUCCUGGUAUGUUACUUACAAAAUUUAUACAAUAUUUUCGUUAAUGAUUCAUUGAUGGGAUACACGAUAGCUAACAAAAAUUAUUAUUAUUAUUUUUAAAUUUCAGGCAUUGAACAUGUAGGUGGAGACUUGUUUGAAAGUGUUCCUGAGGCAGAUACCAUUUUCAUAAAGGUUAUAUGUGUGUAUUAUUUGAAAUCAUCGUUAUAAGGAAAAAUCGAUAUAGGGUGAAUCACUAUUUUCCCCCCUAAUAUUUUGUAGGUUUACUUUGACCCGUUACUCAUUUGGUAUUAGAACUUUGACAAAAACACUUAAGGAAAAGUCAAAAUAUGUUGAAAAGUGUUGGGGGGCAACUGUCUCUCUUUCUUUUUCUCUAGUUGUAAAGGAGUGGCCAAAGCCCAAAUUGAUUAUUUAAAAACCACUGGACUAGCUCCUGAUGCAAAGUGUCAAUCUUUCCGGAUUAUACGUUUUGUUCAAUGCCAUAAAUUGAUCAUAGAUAUUCAUAUUAAUAGAUCUAAUGAGAAUUAACGUAAAUAUUAAACUUUUGCAGUGGGUCCUUAAUGCUUUUGAUGAUGAGCAGUCCUUGAAAUUGUUGAAAAAUUGUUACAAAGCUCUUCCGGAUGGUGGGAAGUUGCUUAAUGUUAAUGGAACAAUUCCAGAAGUGCCUGAGAAUAGCGCGACUUCAAGGGAGAUCUCCCACUUGGAUAUAAUUUGUUUAAUCCAAGUUCCUCAUGGAAGAGAGCGGACCAAACAAGAAUACAGUGACUUAGCAAUCAAAGCUGGAUUUAAAGGCGUCAACUACGAAUAUGGUGCAUGCAAUUUAUAUGUUAUGGAAUUCCUCAAAUAAUAAAUUGCUUUACUUGUAUUAGGAAAGGUCUUCUCAACUCUCUUUGGGGAGUUACCAAUUUCUGGUUUGUGUUAAUUUUUCUUCUCGCCUUAGCUUUUCUCUUAUGUACUCUUUUUCAUCCUUUAAGCAUCUGUCUUUUUAAGGGAGAUUGACUGCCUUAUAAGGUAGCUCCUAUGUAAUAUUUUCCAUUUUAAUUUUUACUGUUGUAGCAUGUGAUACUUAGUUUUUUAUCGAGGAAAAAAAUAGUGUAUUCAUCUGACUUUGUUUUUUUUUUUUUUUUUCCUUUUUCUACUUAUUGCAAAGUUAUGUUGUGCAAAAACCAGCAAUAUAUAAUUAAUAAUUUAAAGUAAUAAAGUUUGAUUUUUGAACGUAGUAAAAUACACCGUAACUGAAUCGAACAAUGCCUGAAAAAUAUAUUGAAAAUGGAUUAUAGAGAUAUAAAUUUCUAUUAUAAUUAUAAUUUAGUUUUUUAUUUUUAAGUUAACUUAGAGAAAAUAUAUUUUAUUUUCAUUAUAAUUGUGAUUUAAUUUUUCUUUUUGAAUUAAUUUAGAGAAGUAGGUUUCCUCUAUUAUAAAUAGAGAGCUCUUGUGGUUGUUUUAAGAACUUUUUUCUAUUAUAAAUAGAGAGUUUUUGUGAUUAUUUUAAGAACUUUUUCCAAACUCAAUUAUUCUAUAAAUUUUUAUUCUAAUUUUUUUUUUCUAUCUUCUUUACAAUUCCUCGUCGGCUAAUAUAGGUCAAAGGGGUUAAAAAAAAGUGCAAGCCUUUUGAAACAAGUCACAGAUGACAGACCCAAUCAGAACUAUAAGUAAAUAUAAUAGUUUGCACUGGCAAUAGGAUUUCCGGCAUUUCGUCUAAGGCACAAUUGACACAACGCUUGAUUGACCAAAACAAAUAGUUGAUUAUUGUAAUUAUUGUGAAUAUAGUCUUUUGUUUUACAACGCGUUAAAUAUGUUUAUAUAUUUUGUAAAAGUCAAGCAAUGAGAUGUAGGGAACGAUUAUUGUUUUCACCAUAUCAAUUAUCUCAAAGAUUAUCUCAAAUAUUUUUCAUGUUCUGUCUGCCGGUACUCUGCCUUCUAGAGGUGCACAGUGAUGGGUGAAAAGAGGAAAAUGAAAAAAAGAUAAGAAAAAAUUUAUAAGGUCCUUUAAUGCGGGGUCGUUUUGGUUCGAUAUGUGUUGAAAAUUUUUUCGGGUGCAAGCUGUCGCUAUCACCGACUUCAAAAACCUUGUCUUGUAAUAUUAAUAUAGGCCCCGAGCCCCCCACCACUUUGCCUCUGUGAUUAAGAACCCCAUUCUUUGUCUUUUAGCAAACCCACCGCCGCUUUAUAAGUCAAUAAUUUUGUUUUUUUUUUUUUUUUUUUUUUGUCAACUCAAUUGAAGGCUUUGCCCACUUGUAGAAAAUCCCAUAAUGGGUUCCACUAGGUUACAGCAGUGGCACAUAUAAUUUCUUUUUGUCUUCUGUGAUAAAAUUUCAUAUAAUCUCUUCUAUUUAUUUUUAUUUAAUAUUUAUCCUAUAAGUAUUAAGUUAAUUUCUACCUACACUUACAGCUACAUUUCGGUUAGCUCUUUAUACUAUUUUAUAUUUACAGAUUUUUUAUUCAAUAUUGCACAUGUAUCACAAUACCCCCUCUUUAUUAUUUUGAAGUUAAAUAAUUAACAUGUUUAAUUUAAAACCUUACACUCCUUUUUAAUUAUAAUCUUUUUAAAUAUCGGGUAUUUUUUACAUUUGCUAUCAAAUUUCAUUUAACACUUUACACUCUUUUUAUUUCGAAUUUUUUUAUAGAUAUUAAUUUACAUUAUGGUAGUGCACUGUGUCCAUAUAUUAUUUAUGAAUGGUAAUUUAUCACUAAUACAGUGACAUUUCAUCCAGGAGUGGCUCUCCUUGUUGAUAAAUUGAAAUUAGCGCAAACCUUGAGGACAGGCAUGAAAAAAUGAGAACACGAGCAUGAUUUGUGAUGAGAUUUAAUAUAGUUGAAUCCAUGCCUCGACUGAUUCAAUAGAAAGGAGGGAAAAAAGAAGGAAAACAGAAGCAAGCAAUUAAGAAAGAAGCAAAUUAUAAUCAUGGCUUCUAUAGCUGAUCAGGAAGAAGAGGCAAAUAAUUUUUCAUAUGCAAUGGAACUGGCAAGUGCCAUAGUGCUACCUGCAGCUAUGCAAGCAGUGGUAGAGCUUGAUGUGUUUGAGAUCAUAACCAAAGCUGGUCCCGGUGCUAAGCUUUCAGUUUCGGAAAUUGUGGCUCAAAUUCCCUUAAAAGAUAAUAAUCCUGAAGCUGCAGCCAUGAUGUUAGAUCGGGUGCUGAGGCUUCUUGUCAGCUACAAUGCUCUUCAUUGCUCUUUUGUUGAUGGACAAAGGCUCUACUCUCUUGCUCCUGUUUCUAAAUACUUUGUUCGCAAUAAUCAAAACGGUGCGUCGUUGCGUCCCUACAUGGCCUUGUCUCUCGACAAGGUCCUCAUGGAUGGCUGGUAUACAGAAUUACUUUUUCUCUUUUCUUUUGUUUGCUAAUAUUGGUAAAUUAAGGAAAAUUAUCAAAACCUUCUAGUUGUCUAUAUAAAAAAAAUUAAUCAUUUGCAUCACAUAUUUUGAACCCAUCAAGAUCCAUCAGCUUCUACAAGGAUAGUUAUCUUCAAUUAUUUUACUUUUGUUGUGGUAAAAGACCAAAAAAGUUUAAAGUCCAAGUGUUUGUGAAAUAUGAAAGAGAAAAGAUUGAUUGUAACAAACAAUUAAUAAAGUAUUCUUUAUCUUGGUUAAUUAUGCGGUCUAAUUUUACAAACUAAGCUUCUAAAAUUUUUACUAACUGUGUUUGGAUUUUGAAAAAUUCAGGUUUCGGUUGAAAGGGCAAAUUCUUGAAGGAGGAAUUGCGUUUAAUAAAGCGCACGGAAUGCAUAUCUACGAUUACUUAGGCGUUGACUCAAGUUUCAAUGAUGUUUUCAGUAAUGGAAUGUUAAGCCACACUUCUAUUGUCAUGGAGAAGGUCCUAGAAUCAUACAAAGGCUUUGAGCAUGUUAAGAAGCUUGUUGAUGUUGGCGGCGGCUUAGGAGCUACUCUUAACAUGAUAAUUUCCAAAUACCCUCAUAUUAAGGGUAUUAAUUAUGAUUUACUUUAUGUUAUUAAAAAUGCCCCAUCUUAUCCUGGUAUGUUAUUUAAAAAAUUUGUAUAGUAUUUUUGUUAAUAAUUCAUUGAUGGCAUACACGUUAGCUAAUAAAUUUUUUUCUUUUUUUAAAUUUCAGGCAUUGACCAUGUAGGUGGAGACUUGUUUGAAAGUGUUCCUAAGGCAGAUACCAUUUUCAUGAAGGUUAUAUGUGUGUGUUAUUUGAACUCAUUGUCAUAAGGAAAAAUUAAUAUAGGGUGACUGACGCUUUUUCCCAUAAUAUUUUGUAGUUUUAUCUGAUCCCGUUAUUCCUUUGGUAUUAGAACUUUUACAAAAACACUUAAAGGGGAUACCAAAAUAUUAUGAAAUCUGUAAAAAAAAAAAAUGGUAAAACUCUCUCUCUCUUUCUUUUUCUCUAGUUGCAAAGGGGUGGCCAAAGCCCAAAUUGAUUAUUUAAAAACCACCGGACUAGCUCCUACAAAGUGUCAAUCUUUCUGGAUUAUAUACGUAUGUUUUGUUCAAUAACAUAAAUUGAUCAUAGAUAUUCAGAUUAAUAGAUCUAAUGAGAAUUAACAUGAAUAUUAUACUUUUGCAGUGGGUCCUUAAUGGUUUUGAUGAUGAGCAGUCCUUGAAAUUGUUGAAAAAUUGUUACAAAGCUCUUCCGGAUGGUGGGAAGUUGCUUAAUGUUAAUGCAGCAUUUCCAGAAGUGCCUGAGAAUAGCGCGACUUCAAGGGAGAUCUCCCUCUUGGAUACAAUUUGUUUAAUCCAAGUUCCUCAUGGAAGAGAGCGGACCAAACAAGAAUACAGUGACUUAGCAAUCAAAGCUGGAUUUAAAGGCGUCAACUACGAAUAUGGUGCAUGCAAUUUAUAUGUUAUGGAAUUCCUCAAAUAAUAAAUUGCUUUAUUUGUAUUAGGAAAGGUCUUCUCAACUCUGUUUGGGGAGUCACCAAUUUCUGGUUUGUGUUACUUAAUUUUUCUUCUCGUUUGGCCUUAGCGCUUCUCUUGUGUACUCUUUUUCAUUCUAUGAACAUUUGUUUCUUUAAAGGAGAUUGACUGCUUUAACAUAGCUCUUAUGUACUCUUCUCCAUUUUAAUUUUUAUGGAGGAAAAAAAUAGUGUAUUCAUCUUACUUUGUUAUUUUUUUUUUCUUUUCCUGGUUAUUUCAAAGUUAUGUUGUGCAAAAACCAGCAAUAUAUAAUUAAUAAUUUAAAGCAAUAAAGUUUGAUUUUUGAACGUAAUAAAAUACACAGUAAAUGAAUCAAAUGAAGUCUGAAAAUAUAUUGAAAAUGGAUUAUAGAGAUAUUAAUUUUUCAUUAAACAACUACUGAGAGCUAAUAUAGGUCAAAGGGGUUAAAAAAAAAAAAAAGAAUACAAGUCUUUUGAAACAAGUCACAGAUGACAGACACAAUCAGAACUAGAAGGAAAUAUAAUAGUUUGCACUGGCAAAAUGAUUUCCAGCAUUUCGUCUAAGGCACAAUUAACAACGCUUGAUUGACCAAAACAAAUAGUCGAUUAUUGUAACUAUUGUGAAUAUAGUUCUUUCUUUUACAACACGGUAAAUAUCUUUAUAUAUUUUGUAAAAGUCAAGCAAUGAGAUGAAGGGAACGAUUAUUGUUUUGGACCUGUCUAUGGUACAGAUUCUGUAACAAACAUCUCCCGUCAUCCCACCAUCCGAUUUUCUAUUGUUCAGUUUCUCACUCCACAUCCAACCACAUCCAACGGCUGAUGCUGCAGUCUGUACCUUACAGAUUCUGUAAGCUAGUCGAGUCCUAUUGUUUUCACCAAAUUCAAGUAUCUCAAAGAUUAUCUCAAAUAUUUUUCAUGUUCUGUCUGCCUUCUAGAGGUGCACAGUGAUGAGUGAAAAGAGGAAAACGAAAAAGAUUAAAAAAAAAUUUAUAAGUUCCUUUAAUGAGGGGUCGUUUUUUGUUAGAUAUGUGUUGAAAAGUUUUUAGGGUGCAAACUGUCGCUACCUCCGAAUUCUCAAAAAUCUUUGACUUGUGAUAUUAAUAUAGGCCACAACUGCUCUGCCUUUGUGAUAAGGAACCUCAUUGUAAAGGUGCACAGUGAUGGGUCAAAAGAGGGAAAAAAAUAAACAAAAAAAUUUAUAAGUUCCUUUAAUGUGAGGUUGUUUUGGUGGAGAAAAUUAUGAUGCAAUAGUGAUAACGUGUUAUUAUUGUAUUCAGUUAUUAAAUUUUAAUAAAUUAAUUUAUUUAAGUAGAUUCAACGAUUAAAUGUAACGGUGGCAUGAUACCACCGUUAAACUGUAGCUGGACCUUGUUUUGGCGAAAAUUUUUUAGGGCGCAAAUUGUCGCUAUGUCCGAUUUCAAAAAUUUUUGACUUAUAAUAUUAAUAUAGGCCCCAACCACUUGGUCUCUGUGAUUAAGAACCGCAUUCUUUGUCUUUUAGCUAACCCACCGCUGCUAUAACGUCAUUGAUUUUGUUUAUUUUUUUGUGUCAACUCAAUUGAAAGCUUUGCCAACUUUUAGCAAAAAUAUAAUUUAUACUGUUUUUUGAAUCUAGCCGAAGCAACCAAUACAGAAAGAAGGCAGUCAGGCAGGUAAUAGUCGCGAACUAAAGUCAGUCCUUCCUUCGUGAGUCUCUUUUUCGAAAAUUGUGACUAAUUUUAGUUUACACCAGCUGGGAAUUCGUUGAAACAAAUUCCAGUCAUGCCUGGUGUGUACUUAAUAUAUGGGUGAAGACAAUUUGGGAGCUUGGAACUCUCCAAUGAGACAAGAAAAUAUGUUAGUUAGCUAGGCUUCUGAAAUUUGAAUAGGAACAACAAGUAUGUACAUAUGAAACAAAUUUGCGGAGGCCCUGAGGGGGCUCCACUAAGACGUACUUGAUAGCUAAGUCCUCAUAAUUCAAUUUAAUAACUUCUAAUUUAUUGAAAUGAAUCAAUUAAUUGUUUAAGUUGGAGUUUUAUAAUUGGGAUUAAUUAACAAUACGAGCAAGCACCUUUUGGUGAGAUGCCACUUUUGAAAUUGCUCGAACACAAUAAAUUUGGACAUGAUUGAUGGGGCCCGGGAAUGAGAUUUUGACAUCUCUUUAAAAAUUAUAUUUAUAAGAAAUUAUAUUUACCACUUGAGUUAUAAAUAAAUUUUUAAUAACUCAUUUUAUUUUUUAUAUAAAAUUAAUACGUUAAAAAAACACAUGAUUGAAGUGUUAACGUACAUUUUUGACAAACAAAACAAUCCAGUAUUAAUUUGUAGCUAGAUCAAUUGAGCACCUAAAAAAUUUUAUUAAUACCCCUUGAGUGUUUUUUUUUUCUGUUUUUUUUAAGUUUUCUUACAAUAAUAUAAUUUUUAUUUUAUUUUUAUAUAUGUCCCCGAUUCAGUCCUUUUCUAAAAUUAGUUUUAGAGACUUAUUUAAUAAAUAGUCAAAUUAUUUUUGUAUUGAAUAAAUUGAAAGGUUAAAAUAUCAUUACUGCUUUAACUUACAAAAAAGUUAUUAUGCGGUCUAAUUAAAAGAAAAGUAUGUGUUAAAAACUGUCACUAGUAUUGAGAACUUACAAAAAUGACAUAUGGUAACAACUAGCAAUAUUUUCAUAAUUUCAUGAUUUAUUUCCUUGACAAUCAUACCUUCUCUUUUAUUUUUCAUUAUAUCAAAUUAUUUAAAUAUGUCACUGUUAGAGUGCAAUUUAUGCACUAGUUUUGCAUUAUUUACUUCCCUUAAUAUCAAUGUUUUGCACUUAAUAAUAGUGAUUUACUUGUGUUUUACUUUUGUAGGUGCAAUUCUAUUGAUUGAUGAUAAAAUUGAGCUAUAAGAUGAUGUUUAAGGAUGAUUGUUCUCUUGGAGAAAUUAUGAGCGUCAGAAGAACUUUGUUGAAAAGGCGUGGGCGCGUGCUGUCAACUGCGGACCUGCAGUUUUUAGUUUAACGUGUUUUGCAUUUUUGGUUAUUUUUGUAAUUACGAAUUUAAUAUUUCAGAUAUUAGGAUUUUAUUUUAAAUAGAAUUCUAAAAGAGAAGAGAGAGAGAGUAUUUAAGGGAGGAAUCUAUUGUGAAAAAAGGGGAUUUUUUUGGAUUGGAGAAAAAGAAAGAAAACCCUAGAUCUAAUUUUUCUCUUCUCUCUAUGAAGAACUAAACUUAUUUUUCUGGUUGAAGGAUAACGAAGCUUUGAUUCAUCACUACUGUGAGAUCUUUCUUGUGCUUUAAUUGUUUUAUUACUUUUUGGGUAUUUGUUUAUUCUCUGUAUUAUUUUCAUGAUUAUGUUUGUUAAUUAGGUAAUUGGCCAUUAUUUAAUUAUCAACUUAAUCUAUUGUCAAUUAAAGGAUUCAUCGUAUGAAGAAUUUAAUGUUUGUGACAAAUAACAUAGCAGAGAGUUGUGUUGUGAGAAUAAACAAUCUAAUUUAAAUGAAUCAUCAUAUGUGUUGAUUAGGAUUUGGGUCUCUCUGAUUUUUCAGGCUGUCAAUUGAUUAAAUCCUAUGAUCGUAUCUAGGGUUGUCUAUUGAUUAGGGAAAUAACCAACGGUCGUACCUUGGUUAUCGACUAGUUAAGGAGAGAUUGGCUAUUAGAGGGUCUCAAUAGCUAUAACCGGUCUAUUAAUAAGUAAUAAUAAUCUAUAUUUGAAUCAAUGAUCAGUAGUCGAAUCAAGCUGAGUUAAUUCCUUCAACCAGAGCUUUCUCCAAUUUGAAUUACAACUUUAAUUUGCAUUCUUGUUAUUUUAAUUUGAUUUUUAUUAUUGUCAACAAAACCCCCAUUUUAUGUUUUACGUUUUAAAAGGAUUUAAAUAAUUACCGAUCUCUGUGGACACGACCCUGCUCAAUCACUAUACACAAUUUAUUUAGAGUAGGAAUUUAUUUUUGUUGGCUUCGACACCCAUCAAAUUUUGGCGUCGUUGCCGGGGAUUGGUGUCAUUUAUUUAAUCAUUUUUACGUUUUACUUGGUGUAUGGUUCGUUCUUCUCGUACAGGUACACUUUCGUUUGAUCCUGAAAUUGAGAAGACAGCUGGCCAGCUGAGACAGCAGACGAAGCGAGCUAAGCAACGAUCCUCGUUGCCUUUGCUUUCUGAAAUAGAUACAGUGCCUGAUUUAGUUGAAUCAUCUAGCGAUUCAGAAGAACAAGUGAUGGAUAGACCUGCACCUGUAGAAAGAACUCUUAGAGAGUUAGCUGAACCAGACUUGAAUCAACAACCACUCUGCAUUCAAUAUGUAGACUUGGAGGUAAAUUUUGAAUUAAAGUCUGGUCUUAUUCAUUUAUUACCCAAGUUUCAUGGUUUUGCAGGUGAAGAUCCUCAUAAACAUCUUAAGGAGUUUCAUGUUGUGUGUUCAAGUAUGAGACCACAAGGCGUGACUGAAGAGCAGAUUAAGCUGCGUGCUUUUUCGUUCUCUGUAGAUGGGCUAGCUAAAGACUGGUUGUAUUACUUGCCUCCUGGAUCGAUUACAAUGUGGAAUGAUUUGAAGAAGCAGUUCCUCGAGAAGUACUUUCCUGCUUCAAGAGCUGCCAACAUCAGAAAAGACAUUUGUGGGAUUAGACAACUUCCUGGGGAGACUUUGUAUGAGUAUUGGGAGCGAUUCAAACAAUUGUGUGCCAGCUGUCCUCAGCAUCAGAUUUCUGAUCAACUUCUUAUUCAAUAUUUUUACGAAGGACUAUCAUUGAUGGAUAGAAGUAUGAUAGAUGUUGCUAGUGGAGGCGUGUUGGUGAACAAGACUCCUACUCAAGCAAGGGAGUUGAUAUCAAAUAUGGCUGCCAACGCACAACAAUUUGGCAGCAGGCAAGAUCCCACUUCAAGGAAGGUGAAUGAGGUAAAUAUUUCUUCUAUUGAACAACGUUUAGAUAAACUCACUUCUCUUGUGGAAAAGUUUGUUGUAGGUAAUGUGCAACAGGUGAAGACUUGUGGUAUUUGUUACAAUAUGGGUCAUUCAACUGAUAUGUGUCCUACACUUCAAGAAGAACCCGUUGAACAAGCCAAUGCAGUUGGAGGAUUUCCAGGCAUGCCUCAGAGGAGGUAUGAUCCUUAUGCACAAACAUACAAUCCAGGAUGGAAGGAUCAUCCCAACUUCAGCUAUGGAGUUAGGCCGUCAGGAUUCCCACAACAGUAUCCACUAAGACAACCAGCACCUCCACAGUCAACCUCCAAGUCAUGUAUAUCUCUUGAAGAAAUUGUUAAAUCGCUUGCGACUAACACUCAACAAUUUCAGCAGGCAACUACAGCAAGCAUUCAGAACUUGGAGAACCAAAUGAGUCAAUUGGCGACUACAGUGAGCCGUCUGGAGUCUCAAGUAUUAGGGAGAUUGCCUUCACAAUCUGAGGUGAAUCCAAAGCAAAACGUUAGUGCUGUCAUCCUUAGAAGUGGGAAGGAGUUGCAAGAGCCUAGUAAGAAAGUGACAGAGCAUGUAGAAGAUGAGCUUGAGAAGAAUGAAUUGAUGCCUCAAUCUCAAGAUGCACAACCCACCGGAGCGAAACCCCUACCUAUUGUGAUACCUCCUCCUUUUCCAAGCCGGUUUGCAAAAUCCAAGAAGGAGGAACAAGAGAAAGACAUCCUUGAGACAUUUCGCAAGGUUGAGGUAAAUAUUCCUUUAUUAGAUGCUAUAAAACAAAUACCUCGAUAUGCUAAAGUCCUUAAGGAACUAUGCACCUCUAAGAGAAAAUUAAGAGGAGAUGAAAAAGUUCAUAUGGAGGAGAAUGUUUCAGCAGUUCUGCAAAAGAAACUACCUCCUAAGUGCAAGGAUCCAUGUAUGUUUACUAUCCCUUGCAAAAUUGGUAAUGUCAAAGUUGAAAAGGCUAUGUUAGAUCUAGGAGCUUCUAUUAAUGUUAUGCCUCGUUCCAUUUAUUCAUCUUUGAAUGUUGGUCCAUUAAAAGAAACUGGCGUGAUAAUUCAACUAGCUGAUAGGUCUAAUGCAUAUCCUGAUGGGGUAUUAGAAGAUGUCCUAGUACAAGUUAAUGAGUUGGUUUUUCCUGCUGAUUUUUAUGUACUUGAUAUGGAAGAGGAUAACUUCUCUAAUUCUGUCCCAAUUUUGCUAGGAAGACCUUUUCUUAAGACUGCUAGGACUAAAAUGGAUGUACAUAAAGGGACUCUCACUAUGGAGUUUGAUGGAGAGGUUAUAGAAUUCAAUAUGAAUGAUGCCAUGAAAUAUCCUAGUGAGGAACAUUCGGUAUUUUCUGUGGAUGUUAUUAACCCUAUAGUGCAGGAAGUUUUUUACAAGGAAAAAGCGAAGACAUUUCAUGAUAGAAUGAUUUUGAGAAAGGAGUUCUCGAUUGGUCAAAAAGUUCUUCUUUUUCAUUCUAAGCUUAAACUUUUUCCGGGUAAAUUACGUUCUUGCUGGGUCGGACCUUUUAUUGUUACUAAUGUUUUUCCUCAUGGUGCAGUUGAGAUUCAAAGUCCGACCUCUGACAGAGUUCUUAAGGUUAAUGGUCAUCGCUUAAAACCUUUUUAUGAAGGUUUUUCGGUGAAUAUUGUGGAGGAUGUGGCUCUCGAGAGUCCCAAUUAUGGAGAUUGAUGCAUAAAUGUGUCUAGCCAAAGACAUAAAACAAAGGCGCUUUUUGGGAGGCAACCCAAAAGAUUUAUUUAUUUUGAUUUUAGUUAUAUCUUUUAUUUUUAAUUUUGAUUCAGAUUUUUUUUUUUAAUAAUGUUUUUGCUUAUUUUGGCCAGAAGAAAAUUUUCGAUAAGGCGUGCCCACGUCUUAACUAAUAAGUACUUCUGUGAUUUUUAAAGUAAAAUAGGUUUAAGGCGUACCCACGUGCUUAUUAGAAAAGUACUUCUGAAAUUUUUAGUGUCUCAAAGUGAUUCAUCACAAAAAAAAAACUUUUUAUUUAUUUAUUUAUUUAUUUUUUCCUUCCUUCUUUUCUUUCUUUUAUAUAUAUAUUUUUUUAUUUAUUUUAAAAAAACGAAAAAAAAACAAAAAUCACAAAUCACUGUUCACAAAUCCCUAAUUCAAAAAAAAAAAAAAAUUCAUUGUUGAUUAUCUUUUUCACCCGCAGCAAUCAGCAGCAGCAACCGUGCGAAAUCAACAGCAACCGUGCGAAAUCAGCAGCAGCCGCGCGCCCCGCAACGCAGAUCCUCAGCUCUAGCCCGCGCGCACAGCGCAAAUCAAUCCAGCCGAGUAGCCGCACCAGCCCGCAACGCAAGCCCCACCAGCGCGCAACGCAGACCCGCAACGCGAACCAGCUCUCGAGCGCAACACAGCAGUGCGUAGAUCCAGCCCUGCAACGCAGCACGAACCAGCAACGCGAACCAGCUCUCGCGCGCAACAAAGCAGUGCGUAGAUCCAGCCCCGCAACACAGCACGAACCAGCAGCGCGAACCAGCUCUCGCGUGCAACACAGCCACGCAGCAAGCUCCAACCGAGCAGCAGCCGCAGCACACACCACCGCAACGCAGCAACGCAACGCAACUAGCCUACGCCCUGUAUUUCAGCCGGGUAAAUCGAAAUCCGUGAGUGCAAUUAUUGUAACAAUGCCGAAGAGGAAAGCAUCUUCUUCCAAGUCAUCAAAAAAGACACCCGUCGCAAAGAAAUCUAAGAUUGCCGCUCCCACUACGGUUCCAUGGAACACAAUUUCAGAUUCACGCCAAGCCGUGAGACAAAGAUCGAAGCAUGGAAAAGGCAUGAGUGUUUUGCCACUUGCGGAAUCCAAUCUCGAAGGGUGCCUCGCGUUCGUGAUUCAACAAGAGAAAGAGAGGUACAAAGAUAUUUCCACGCGCAAAAUACUUCCAGCUAAGUAUAUUCAUUACCCGACUCUUGAAAAAUUGAAUGUUAAGGAUAAUUUUGAUUCUUUGAUAGAUAAGAUUGGGUUGCGUAAAUUUGUUGAUGUUGAUUGUUUGGGUUAUGUUGAGUUGAUUAGGGAGUUUUAUGCUACUUUUCAAUUUAAUAUGCCGAAUGAUUUUACUUUGCAUACCCCGAAUGUCAUAAAGUUUAGGUUAAUGGGACAAAAUUUUUCACACUCUAUCACGGAUUUUAACCUAGCUUUAGGAUUCAUUGAUGAUGAUUAUUCUUCUAGUGAUGCAUAUUUAGGAACAACUUGUGACUUUAGCGAAAAUUUUGAGCCUUAUGGUCUUUGGCGUAAUUUAUCUGUUGAUCACAAUCCUGUUUUGAAAUGUGUGCAUCGAUUAUUAGCAUAUAAUUUUUUAGGCAAGAAAGAUCACUCAGGAGUUUUCUCUAAAACUGAAUUUUAUUUUAUCUGGUGCAUGUUAAAUGAUGUGAGGCCUAAUUUAGGUUUUUGGUUAGCGGAUCAAUUUCAAAGUGUGCUUAAACGGUAUAAGACUUUAUUUCUUGGUCCAUACAUUACUCUGUUAGCUAUAAACCUAUGUGUGCUUGAUCCCGACAAUAAUGAUUUGCAUCCUGCUUGCAAAAAGGAAUUUUUGGAUAUGUUUGUGUUUGAAAGAACAGGUGUGGUCGAAUUCAAGGAGGGGAGAUUUCAGUUUACUGAACCAGGACCCACUCAACUUCCGAAGAAGCUUUAUGCUAGGAGUGGUGCUACCUCUGAUGACGAGUUUGACGACGACACUGCUGCCCCGCCAACUAUUCCUUCUACAUCCGCACCACCUUUGAGCAUUCAGUUAGAGAAAAUGGAGCACAAGCUAAACAAGAUGGAGCAGAAUUUGGCCGCAUACUUCGAGAGUGUGGGAUUUACCCCACCAUUUCCGCCAAGCCCAUAGACGUUAUGUGGAUCAAAGCUCACAAUUUAGGGAAGUUUCUUUUUGCCCUUAAUUUUUUAUCCUUACGCUUUAAUUUUUAUGUGAGCUUUGAUUAUCUUACAUUGGGGACAAUGUAAGUUCUUGGUGUGGGGGAGAGAUUUUUACAUUAUUGAUGCCUGAAAUUAUUAUUUUCACUCUACUCAUCCUUAAAUGAUUUUGGAGUUAGUAUGCUUCAUAUAUUAUUAAUUCUCUUUUCUUUUCUCUCUCACUACUCUUUUUCCAUCUAUCUCAAAUUAUUUACAUCUAUUUUUUUCUAUCAUACUCUUUCAUCACUCACAUUUAUCUUUCAUUUUUUUUACUACAUACAUCUUUCUCGCUUAUUAUUAUUUUUUUACCUUUCCUUUUAUAUCUCACUCAUACCUUCUUCUCAUUCUACACCACUAUUGAUGGUUGAUUCAUUUGAAGAGUGUACAUGAUUUGAUGGCAAAUUUACCAACUUUGUGAGGAUUUGAGCCUAUGAGCAACCACUUUGCUCUAAUAUUUUUGUUGUGUGAAUAUCAAUCUUAGUUUGUUUAUUCUAGAACUUGCUUUGUUAUGCAUGUUGAAGCCGCAUUACGGGAUUUUAUGCAUUAAAAUGAUAAGGGCAAACCCUUUUCCAUUUUUCUAUUCUCGCAUUUUUUUUUCUCUAUCCGAAGACCUUUAUUUGCUAUCUUUGUUUGAGCCUUAACCAUUACCCAUCUAAUUUUCUCCGUCUACUUAACCAUUUUUCUUCUUUGUGAGCCUUAAUUUAAGGAGAUUUUUGGACUCAUUGUGUGGAUAUAUUUUGUUGCUUUUUCUACCUUGUAAUAAAGUUUCUCAAUUAGAUCAACAAGCAUUAUGCUUGAAUUAAAUUGUGCAAGGUUCGUUUCUUUUGUUUGAUUCAAAAACAAAAAAAAAAAAACAAAAAAAAACAAAAAAAAAUCGAAAAAAAAAAGAAAAAAAAUGUUACAUUCUUGGUGACUUGAGUAGAAAUAAGCAUUUUGAUAUCAUAAGUUCAUUCAAUGAGUUCAUUCUUCUCAUUUUGAUCUCUUUUUCUUUCGUAAACCUUUCUUUUUCAUUCAACCUAUUUAACCCCAUUACAACCCUUUUAAGACCCUUAGAUUUUUGCAUUUUAUUCAUGUUUUGUGGAUUGAGAUGUGAUAUAUGAGCAAGCUUAUGGUAAUAGCAUUCUUUGAUUUGAUUUGAGUGAAUAAAUGACACCCUAAACACUUUGAGUGCAUGGAGUGAAGUUAUUGAGAGGGCUAUUAAAUCUUGUUGCACUUGAGUUUUGAAUGGAUCUUCUUAGUGGUUGAAUGUGCUUAUUCUAUCUUAUGAAAUUCUAUGCUUUAAAAUCCUUGUCUCUCGAAUGUUGAUCGACUUAAUUUCUUGAGGUAUGCUUGCUUAAAACUGUUUUUGGAUGAGUUGAGAUGAGAAUUGAGUGGAGAUUUGAGAUUAAUCUUGAGUUAUAUGCUUGAGGACAAGCAUCAUCUUGGUGUAGGGGAAUUUGAUAGAGUGUAAUUUAUGCACUAGUUUUGCAUUAUUUACUUCCCUUAAUAUCAAUGUUUUGCACUUAAUAAUAGUGAUUUACUUGUGUUUUACUUUUGUAGGUGCAAUUCUAUUGAUUGAUGAUAAAAUUGAGCUAUAAGAUGAUGUUUAAGGAUGAUUGUUCUCUUGGAGAAAUUAUGAGCGUCAGAAGAACUUUGUUGAUAAGGCGUGGGCGCGUGCUGUCAACUGCGGACCUGCAGUUUUUAGUUUAACGUGUUUUGCAUUUUUGGUUAUUUUUGUAAUUACGAAUUUAAUAUUUCAGAUAUUAGGAUUUUAUUUUAAAUAGAAUUCUAAAAGAGAAGAGAGAGAGAGUAUUUAAGGGAGGAAUCUAUUGUGAAAAAGGGGGAUUUUUUUGGAUUGGAGAAAAAGAAAGAAAACCCUAGAUCUAAUUUUUCUCUUCUCUCUAUGAAGAACUAAACUUAUUUUUCUGGUUGAAGGAUAACGAAGCUUUGAUUCAUCACUACUGUGAGAUCUUUCUUGUGCUUUAAUUGUUUUAUUACUUUUUGGGUAUUUGUUUAUUCUCUGUAUUAUUUUCAUGAUUAUGUUUGUUAAUUAGGUAAUUGGCCAUUAUUUAAUUAUCAACUUAAUCUAUUGUCAAUUAAAGGAUUCAUCGUAUGAAGAAUUUAAUGUUUGUGACAAAUAACAUAGCAGAGAGUUGUGUUGUGAGAAUAAACAAUCUAAUUUAAAUGAAUCAUCAUAUGUGUUGAUUAGGAUUUGGGUCUCUCUGGUUUUUCAGGCUGUCAAUUGAUUAAAUCCUAUGAUCGUAUCUAGGGUUGUCUAUUGAUUAGGGAAAUAACCAACGGUCGUACCUUGGUUAUCGACUAGUUAAGGAGAGAUUGGCUAUUAGAGGGUCUCAAUAGCUAUAACCGGUCUAUUAAUAAGUAAUAAUAAUCUAUAUUUGAAUCAAUGAUCAGUAGUCGAAUCAAGCUGAGUUAAUUCCUUCAACCAGAGCUUUCUCCAAUUUGAAUUACAACUUUAAUUUGCAUUCUUGUUAUUUUAAUUUGAUUUUUAUUAUUGUCAACAAAACCCCCAUUUUAUGUUUUACGUUUUAAAAGGAUUUAAAUAAUUACCGAUCUCUGUGGACACGACCCUGCUCAAUCACUAUACACAAUUUAUUUAGAGUAGGAAUUUAUUUUUGUUGGCUUCGACACCCAUCAGUCACCUUCUCUAUUAAAUAAUUAACAAUGAAUUUCAUAAAUAUUUUUAUGGUACAAUUUUAGUAAUUUAUAAAAUAAGCUUAUUUGUUGUAUUGUUGUCGUUUAUUUUAUCAAGUAUAUGUAUUUUAAUAAGAUUUCUAACGUUGUGUGCUUUGUGUUGCUUGAUAUACAUAUUCUUUUACUCUUCUUCAUGUACUGACUGUUGUACAAAUUCUAAUGUACUUGCAAGCACACAAAUCUAUUGGAGUAUAUACUAAAAAUAAUGAGGUCGAACCUAUAGGAUUGUUUAUUUUAGGAAAUAAAAAUCUAAUCUUAGCUAAUUAUAACUUUACCAUAGUUGAAAAGAAACUAUUUUGUUUAAGAAAAUAUAAACAAAAAAUAUAAACAAAAAAUAUAAGUAAACUAAAGGUGAGAAAAUUAAUAUAAAAAUUUAAGAGAUUGAAGUUACUAGGAUUGUAGAAUCCACCACUUUAACUUAAUAAUUAUCUAAAUACCCAACAAUUAUCAAAUUUAGAGUGACAACUGAAAAUCAAUUUCUGUCUACUCAUAGAUAUAAUAAUUAAGUCCAAUUAAAAUUAAUCUUAUAUAGGUUUUUUUUUUGUUUAAUAGUAUAAUAUCUAAACAUCCCAUAUAAAUAAUAUUGUGUUGGACGGGUAGGCACCCAAGAUGGGCCGACCUGACCCGACCCACACAUGGUAACAACUUAUUGGUUACCAUAUGCGUUUGGGAGAGGGAAAUUGAUUUGUGUUCAACUUCCCAACCGCUCCCAACCGUUGCUUGUAUAUGCCACCAAAACCGUUGCUGUAAAUGUACGAGUUUUUCCAUUCAUUCGAAAAAGCAGUGUGUGUGUGGGUGAACAAAAAAUACAGAGAAGAUUCAUCUUAAUCUCUUCCUCAUCAAGAUUAAAAUAAAGUCUUUGAACAAUCCGUAAAAUACAUAUAUAUUGUGACUUGAUGAAGAUUUCUGCCCGUGAUUUAUUUCCGACCAGUGACAUGAUCCAACACCUGUUUAUUCUGCUGCAUAAUUCAAAAAAUGUAAGGCCUAUUGACUUCCUUUUAAGAAUUUCCUUCAAAUAGUAUCAGAGCCUGAAUUGUGUUGGAUUCGUGCAUUGGUUGGAUUUAAUUCAUGAACAACAUGAUUUUUUUUUUAUGCCCGUUGUUUUAAGUGUUCUGGAAUGUUUUAUAUGAAUGGAUAUCUGGAAUUGAUAUUAUUAAAACCUACCUAGGGUUUAGAAUGCAUGAACCCUAAAUAUAUAUAAAACCUGAAACUUCAAUGGAUCAUAUCUUUUGAUCUAGGACACCUGACAAUAUGUGUAAUAUAUCAUUGGGAAGAUCUUUUCGAGAGCUUUCCAACAGUAUGUGAUUUGUUAAAAAUUGACUUAAGACGAGAAAUUUAUGGCUAAAAUAUGAUUAGUGUCGGAUUAAGGUUUGGAAAGGGUUAAAAACCCUAAUUUGGAGAAGAUGAUGAACAGUAUCAGAUUUAGUUUUUUGACAAUUCCAGCCUAUUCCGACCUCUGUUUGAAAAUCCAAACGCACUAUUGAAUUCAUAAUGAAAUAUGGAGUCGGAUGGUGCCGGACCCAACGUUACUGGAGCGGCGCAAGGCUGCGCGUGGGUCCUACGCGCCGGUUGUGUGUGUUGAACACGCACUGUACAGUUGUGCACUGUAGAACAAUGUUUUGCACUGUAGAGCAUUAUAAUUUUGGAUCGAACAUAUAUAGUCUCAUGGAUGAGUAUUAUAUGUUAAUAAAUAUUUCGCUCUAGUGAGAGCUUAAAUAUUUUUUUUUAUAUGGGAAUUAGCUAAAAUUUAAUCUCGUAUUUAGUCGUUUGUUAACAAUCACUAAUUUGAUUUUUAUAAUUUUUUUGUCGUAGAUGGCUCCCGUUAGUAAGUUGUGGACUGAGGAAGAGGAUUUAAUGACAAUUAGAGCUUGGGUUUCACCUAAUGAUCUAAUUGAGAUUAAUAAUAGUCUAUCUUAUGAAGAACUUAUGGAGAAAAUGGAGAAUUAUAAGAUGGACCCUGAUCGUCCUAUAUGCAUGAACAUAGAAGAUUUAUAUGGGGCUUUUAACCGCUUAAUGUCCACAAAUAAGCCUACUAUGUAACGAACUGGGGUUAUUAUCAAUGGCUUCUCAUUCAAUCAUUACUUGAUGAUGACAAUACACUUGUCUUUAAGGUUCGCAUGUUAAAUGAGAUUGAGAAACCUUCAUACAGAUAUUAUAUGCUGAGGUGUGAAAUUGAGUUGAUGGAGGAGCACCGUCUUGUUUCAAAGAUGAGGCAAACCUCAGUGCUUAGCAUUCACACGAACUUCGAAAUGGGAGACAAGCUAGUCGCCUUGGUAGAGGGCAGAAGUUAUGGUAUGAGAAAACCAUAAACAGAAUCAUCAAGAGAGAACAAUUAUUUUUUUUUGGAGAUAGACUUAAGUAUAAGUUAGAUAAAAGAGUCACGUGCAACAAAGAAUAUUUUAAGAACAUGUAGAAUAUUCUAUGUAUUAGUUUGACUAUGUUAGGUUAUUUCAUUUGUUUCUUGAUUAUGAUUGUUCUUUUUAAAAUUGGUUUUAAUUUGUUGGUUGAAUUAUAUGUUGUUAUGACUUCAUUAAUGAUAUUUUACAUUAAUUGUUGCUCGACUAAAUUUAUAAUUAGAACUGAUAAUUUUACGCAUUAAAAUCGAAUUAAUGAUGAAUAUAAUAAAGGGAAUUGGAUGAUGAUUGGAAGCCUCGACGACCUUUUGAUUCCAUUCCCGAUAUUAGUCCGUCAUGUUUUUAGUUUACGUUUCGAAAAAAUUAAUUGUUUGUAUAUAAUUAUUAAUUAUGCCUUUAGUGAUUGUAUUUUGAAUUGUCUCUGUGUUGAAUUAUAGUUGAGAUGGCCUCUGCAUCUAAAAACAUUGUGGUUGAACUGAACUGAACAAGGGUGAGAAACUGAAUGAUGACAAUUACGAUAUUUGGCACCGUAAAAUUCAGUACAUCUUUGAAGAGCAAGAAACUCUAGAAGCUCUUAACAACACCCUAGCUGAGCCUGAGCAAGACAGUAUUGCUCAACACAAGAGGGAUCUUGAGGCCUAUCAGGCCUGUAAAGAAAAGAAUAGCAAUGCGCACAUAACGUUGUUGAGCAGUAUGCAAGAUGACCUCAUGUUCGAGUAUGAGAAAUAUGAGACUGCUCAAGAGAUAUGGCUCACUCUGAAAGACAAGUUUGGUGGUACCUCGGCCACUAAACUCAAAAGGCUUAUGAUCAAAUUCGACUCUUAUCAUAAGCACCCGAACUAUACUAUGAGGCAGCAUCUGAGGGAGAUGUUGAACAUGGUUCGUGAGCUUAAGUCUGCUGGACAUGUUUUAACUGAUGAACAACAAAUUCAGGCAAUGAUAAGAUCUCUACCCGAUACCUGGGAACACAUGAAAGUGAAUAUAACUCAUAAUGAGAAUAUAAGAACUUUUAAAGAUAUUGAGCAUCACUUAGAGCUGGAAGUAGAGCGCCUUGAGGUUGCUAAGCUUUCUGAUAAUGUUUUUAUGGCUGAGUUGAGCUUGCACAAAGCUUCGGGCUUCAAGCGCAAAAAUGGUCAUAAAUAUAACCAGAAUGGUAAAGGAUCUGAUCUUGAUCAGAAGAAGCCAAAUGCUUAAAAGCGCCCAAGAGGUAAGCGUGCUUGUAAGAAAAUGGACAAAUCCAAGGUGAGAUGCUACAACUGUAGCAAGCUGGGUCAUUUCGCUCGUGAGUGCACUAAGCCGAAAAAGGUAAGACCCAACUACACUUUGUUAAAUUAUGCUUUAGUUAUGAGUUUGUACUCCUAACCGAAUCUCGUCCUAUGUAGACUGUAGACUCAGGAGCAACAGACCAUAUAGCUCGUGAUCAAGAUGCAUUUGUGGAGUAUUGUCGAAUCAGCUAGGGGAGUAGAUGGAUAUACGUGGGCAAUAACUCUAGAGUUGAGGCAAAAUGAAUACGCAUCUGCAAAUUGACUUUUCGUGGUAGACGUAUUCUUUUGUUACACGAUGUCCUGUAUGCACCAAAAAUUCGACGAAACUUGAUUUCUGUCCAUGUUCUUCUUGAAUUAGGAUAUCACUUAACUUUUCAUGGUGUCUGUUUAGAGAUCUUCUUAAAUUCAGUCCUUAUUGGAAUUGGGCAUUUAAUUAAUGGUUUUAUUGUAUUAGAUUCAAUACUUGAUGGUUCAAGUUAUAAUAAUAGUUAUUUUUCUUAUGUUACUUCUUCUAGCAAUAAUGAAAUAGAUGUCAUCACUUGGCAUGCUAGAUUAGGUCAUAUAUGAUAAGAAAUAAUAUAUAGACUUGCGAGAAAGGGCAUGUUUGGUCCACUCACCAAGAUUGAAUUGCCUUAUGUGAAAAUUGUCUAGUUGGAAAAACAACUAGAAAAUCAUUUAACAAAGGAAUUAGAGCCAAAAAACCAUUGCAAUUAAUGCACUCUGACAUCUGUGGUCCAAUGAAUGUAAGGACUAAAGAUGGAGCCUCAUAUUUUAUUACAUUCAUUGAUGAUUAUUCAUGUUUCGGUCAUGUCUACUUGAUUUCUCAUAAAUAAAAAGCAUUGGAUUGCUUUAGAUUAUAUUUGAACAUGGCAGAGAAUUAACUAGACAACAAUGUUAAAGCUCUAAGAACUUAUUGAGGACAUGAAUACCUUUCGAAAGAGUUUAAGGAACUCUGUAAUGAGAAAGGGAUAAAAAGACAGCUGACUAUUCCUGGAACUCCGCAAUAAAAUGGUUUAGCGGAAAAAAUGAAUAAAACUUUAUUGGAAAUGGUUAGAUCAAUGAUGGCGCAAGCAAAUCUUCCAAUAUCCUAUUGGGGAGAUGCUUUGUUAACUACUGCCUAUGUAUUUAAUUGAGUUCCUUUAAAAUCAGUUAGUUCCACCUCAUAUGAGUUAUAGACGGGUAGAAAACCUGACCUAUCUCAUCUGCGGCCAUGGGGGUCUGUAGCUUAUAUUCAUAACUAUACUCAUAAGUUUGAAAAAUUGGGAGCUAAGAGUACAAAGUGUUUCUUUAUUAGAUACUCAGAACACUCUAAAAGAUAUGUGUUCAUUGGUGAACAAAUAAGUGGAAUUAUGUCUGAAUUGGAAUCACGAGAUAUCAGUUUUCUAGAAAAUGAAUUUUCUAGCAUUGGAGAAGUUGAUAAGGAUUUUUAAUUCUAUGAAUUAGAAUAUCCAAAUGAUAUUAUCACUUCUAACUAUGAUGUUGGUGUUAGUACGGAUCCUUUAGGGAUUGCCACUCUGAGUGGGAGUGAAACACCAGACACUUCGAUUCCAGCUGGGGAAUCAACUCGAAAGAGUAAUCGUAGGCCAAUUACUCGUUGUCGCUUUGGGAUUGAGGGAGAAGCUUUUAUGAUUACUUCACACGAUGGUGAUAAGCUAAAUACGUAUAACGAGACUCUCACAUCAUCUGCUAAGGAUUCAUGGAUAAAAGUAAUGGAGGAAGAGAUAGAGUCUAUGAAAGUCAAUCAGGUCAAGGACUUGGUUGAUCUUUCGCCUAACCGUUAAGUUAUCGAAAACAAAUGGGUUCUCCGGAUAAAGUGUAAGGUGGAUGAGACAAUAGAGAGAUAUAAAACAAGAUUAGUCGUUAAAGGCUAUAUCUAACAGGAGUGUGUAGACUAUGAAGAGACAUUUUCUCCUAUAGUAAGGUUUGCUUCUAUACGAUUAAUCUUGGCUAUCGUUGCACAUCUAGACCUUGAGUUACAUCAAAUAGAUGUAAAAACUGCAUUUCUCAAUAAAGAACUAGAGGAAAAAAUUUACAUGGAAUAACCACAAAGUUUUGUUGUUAAAGGCCAAGAGCGCAAAGUAUGCAAGCUCAAAAGAUUUAUCUAUGGCCUUAAACAAUCUUAUAGACAAUGGAACCUUAAAUUCCAUCAAGCCGUAGUUUCUUAUGGCUUUAGGAUAGUUAAAGAAAACCAUUGUGUGUACAUUAAGAGGUCUAAAGACGAUUUUACGAUAUUGUCUUUGUAUGUGGGCGAUAUAUUGUUAGCUGCGAACAUUAAAGAGUUUGUCAAAACUGUUAAAUAUUAACUAUACUCAAAUUUUGACAUGAAAGAUAUGGGUGAAACCUUUUAUAUUUUAAGAGUCAAAAUUUUCAGGGAUCAUUCACGGAAACUUCUUUCUCUGUCACAAGAACCUUACCUUAAGAAGAUCCUUGAAAGAUUUAAUAUGGCUGAUUGUAAGCUAAUAGAUACCCCAAUAGCUAAAGUGCAAUCUCUUAAUCUCGAUAUGUGUCCCAAAAUUCCUCAAGAAAAUGAAAGAAUGACUAGAGUUCCUUAUGUAAAUGUCAUUGGAAGUCUCAUGUAUAUUAUGAUGUGUACAAUGCCUAAUAUCAGUUAUACUGUAGGACUGGUGAGCAGAUUCCAAUUGAAUCCUGGACAGAAGCAUUGGAGUGCGAUCAAGAGAUUUUGGCAUAUCUUAAAGGCACUGCAGAUUAUUCUUUAUGCUAUCAAGGAGGUGGUUUGCAAAUUGUUAGAUAUUCAGAUGCCGACUGGGGUGGCGACCUGGAUGAGUGCAAAUCGACCUCAGGACAUGCAUUCUUGCUAAACAGAAGAGCAAUUACAUGGAGUAGCAAGAACAGAAUAGCAAUUACAUGGAGUAGCAAGAAACAAACAUGCACAGCUUUAUCGACGAUGAAAGCCGAAUAUAUUGCAUGUUCUACAGCAGUGCAAGAAGUUGUAUGGCUUAAGAGAUUUGUGGAGGACUUAGAGAUUAAUAUUAGCGUUAUUAGUCCAGUAACUAUCUAUUGUGACAGCCAGACUGCCAUCUCUUUCUCUAAAGACAUCAAAUACCACAGCAAGUCGAAACAUAUUGAGACUAAAUACGAUUUUAUAAGAGACAUUUUGGCAAAGAAGGAAGUAGCCGUACAAUAUAUAUCUAUGCAUAGCAUGAUAGAUGAUCCACUUACAAAAGAUAUAACGAGGGAUGCAUUCGCCUCUCAUGCUAGAUCGUUGGGGCUACGUAGAUUAUAAUCUUGCAUUAUAAAGAUAUUUUUAUUCUGUAAACAUUUUUAUUACAUGAAUUAUUUUUAAAUGCAAUGAUGUUUUAAGUUCUCUUAUUUCAAUUUAGUUUAGAAAAGGAAUAAUUACACAUAUAUGAAAGUAUGUCGUCAAGUCAAUGACCGGCUUUCUUACACGAGCGGUCACCUUAGUUGCUCUGGGAGCAAGCUAAGAUGAGACAAGUAGAAUAAUGAGAUAAUGUGUUUUGUCUAAGAGCCAAAAAACAAAAAAAAAAUAUUUUACAAAUUUUGUCGUCUUGACUAGAGUCAAGAUGAGGUCGUAUACGAUAUUUUCUCGUCGACCGACUAUAAUUUACCCCACCAUCAUAGAGACCUGAUUGAAGCCAGAUGUGAGAUUUUAUUUUGACUCUAAAAGAGAGCGUUCACUUUAAGAACCCAGGUCAGGCGUUGUAGAAGAGCGACUGGACUAAAAUCUAUAUAGUGAAUUGGAUUAAUGAGACAUACACCUUGAAAUGGAAGAUUCACUGUAACUUGUGUAUCAUAUCGCGCGUGCUUGGUGACCAAACUAGAAAAUGAGAGAAUCGCUCUUCUUCCUCAUUGUGUAAGUUCCGCAUGAGUUUCUAUAAGUCAAUUUUGGUAUCCCUAUGACUAUCAGCUAUGUUUCUGAGAUUUUAGACUGGUGUCUGCUACUUUAACAUGUUAUCUAUGACCUUGACAUGAUUUGGUUUAUGAAACAUAACUAAGAAAGCGACUACUCUGGAUUGAUAGACAUGAGUGUGAUGGAAAGAUUUAAUUUUUUUCAUUUUAUGUGAUUCACUGGUCGACCAAUUGUUUAAUAUCUUUGUGAUAUUACAAUUGUGAAUACAUAAAGAGAUUGCGCAAUUUUGGCAUACCGAGGGCAUUUAAUAUGCUUGAGUAUUAAAGUAAAUUAAAUUUAGGAUACAAUAAACAUAUGUUGAGGUCUCUUGCAUAUGAUUGCAAUUGAGACAUCUCUUGUCUGGGUUAGCAAUUGAGAUAUGUCUUUGGCUCUCUGAAUGAGGUUUUGGAUGUGUUCAUGGUCACACAAUAUAUUUACCAGUAUGAUUGGAGAUAUGUGGUUGUUCAUUGUUUCUUUAUUCACUGCUCUGCUGUUUUGAUGUGGUCCUAUCAUGUGCGAGUGGGAGAUGUUGGACAAGUGGACGCCUAAAAUUGGCCAACCCGACCCGACCCGACCUACACAUGGUAACCACUUGUUGGUUACCAUAUGCGUUUGGGAGAAGGAAGUUGAUUUGUGUUCAACUUCACAACUGUUCCCAAUCGCUGUUUAUAUAUGGCAACAAAAUCAUUACUAUAAAUGUACAUGUUUUUCCAUUCAUUCGAAAAAGCAGUGUGUGUGUGGGUGAACAAAAAAUACAGAGAAGAUUAAUCUUAUUCUCUUCUUCAUCAAGAUUAGAACAAGAUCUUUGAACAAUCCGUAAAAGGCAUAUAUACUGUGACUUGAGGAAGAUUUCCGCUCGUGAUUUCUUUCCGACCAGUGACAUGAUUCAACACAUGUUUAUUCCGCUGCAUAAUUCGAAAAAGGUAAGGCCUAUUGACUUCCUUUUAAGAAUUUCAUUCAUAUUGAAUAAGAAGUAUUCAAAUUCUUUCUAAGUAUAAUGUGUAAACAAUUUAAUAAAAUACAUAAAAUGAAAAAUAAUCAUAUAAACUUUAGAGACCUAAGAAUAAGUUUAGUCAAAUAUUAAUCCUAAUAACAAAUAAUGCAUGACCAUGUGAAAUAAAAACCAUUUAAAAAUAUCCAACUAAACAUGUGAAAUAAAAACCAUAAGUACGUAUGUAGAGAAUUAAUUGAAAAAAUAAUUUAUUUUAUUUAGCAGUUAUCAUCACUGACCAUGGUAUAAACAUUAGAAAGACAAGGGAAAUUGAGAACAGUAGACCAAUAGAACCGGUCACGCAGCUGCUGCCUCUAAUUCUUUGAAUCUCUCUUCGUCUAUGCGUGCGUUCACCAUAUGUUCUUCUGAAAGCCGAAGGCUUCUGCUUUGUUUUGUUAUUUUCAUUUUGUCCACCCCCGCCCCCCACCUCCAUAAUACUGGGCCAACUUCAAAUUAACUUCCAAAUCAUUGUAGAAUUAGGUUGCUUAGCCCCCAAUCUUCAAGUUAAAUCAUGUAAAGAUGCAUGCUUUACGAUUAUGAUUCUUUUACGUGCAGGCCCUAAAAUAGAUUCUAAUCAAUUAGCCCAAAUCCAAGCAUCAAGCCCAUUUGAUUUAUUUUGCGAUUGCCUUGCACAGUUGCACUUGCAGCUAUUGAAUUCUUCCUUUUCUUCUUCUUCUUCUUCUUCCAUUUCGAUUCUUUUGUGAGCAUUUUCUCUCCAAACUUUAAUUGAUUACCCUGUUCAACAAAAUAAAGUAAUUAUCUGAAAAAAAAAAGAGACUAGUUAGUACAUAAUUAGAGGGGGAAUAUAUCAAUUUAUUAUGCCCAUCAAAUACCUCCAAACCUAAAUUUUGCUUGUUCUUAAGCAAAACUAAGAAUGAAAAAUAAAGAAGCCGAAAUAAAUUCUAACUAAACCACUUUUGCAUGCAGUAACUAUUAUAUUUAGUAUAUGCAACAAGUAUUUAAACCCCUAAACAUCUCUAAUGGACAAGUUAUAGUCUCAUGAGGGUUUUCAGUGACGAUAUCCACGAACAUCAUCAAGAUUAAAUUAAAGAUAAUAAAUGAAUAUUAAAAAUAAUGACAUUUUUUUCUCUCUUUCAAGGCACUUGCAUUCAUCUCUUUGAUUAGAUUAAUAACAACAAUGAAAUAAAAAUAUAAACAUUGUCUCCUACCUAAAGAAAUAUCACUCCUAUUCACACGAUCAACUAAGUAAAUUCAUCUCGGACUUUAAUCUUGGACUUUCAUUCCAGAUACUAUAUAUAUAUACAUAUACAUACAUACAUACAUACAUACAUACAUAUAUAAUUUUCUGAUUCGGGAUCAUAAAGUGCGGGAAACGUUUGGGAAAACUUUAAAACCGCAGGAUUUUAAAAGUUUAAAACUUAAAGCGCUUAAACCGCACGGUUUAUACAUUUUCCCGGACAUUCUCGCACUUUAAAAUAUAUAUAUAUAUAUAUAUAUAUAUAUAUAUGUUUCAGUCCGGAAUUUUAAAGUACGGGAAAGUGCGGGAAAUCUUUAAAACCGCACGGUUUUAAAGGCUUAAAACUGUAAAUCUUUAAACGUACGGUUUUAAAGCUUUCCCAGACUUUCCCACACUUUAAAAUCUCUGACCAAAAAACUACUAUAUAUAUAUAUAUAUUGUAUUUAAAAUUGUAUUUAUGUGUUUUGUGUUAAAUUUGUGUUUAAAAUUGUAUUUGAAAUUUUGUUAUAGUCGGAUGCAAGCCAGCCAACAAAGAGACGUACGUCCUUAUAGAGAAAAGAAAGAAGAAGAAAAAAAAAGGAGGAAGAAGACGGAGAAGAAGGAAAAAAAAAAACAAACUGCAGAAAAGAAAGGAAAAAGGGAAUUGGAUUAAAUUCUAAUGUGUAUUGAUGAAAAGUUUUAAUGAAGAUGUUUGUUGCUAGGGUUAUUCAUUUUAUCGGGGUAGAAUGGGAACUUCAAAGGGGGUGGAAAUCAAUAUUUCAUUCCUCAUUUUCAAAUUCAAGUAGGCCCACGAUUCCGAUUCUAUUCCUGUUUCCAUUUUGUGAAGUAAACACCGAUAAUUAUUUUGAUUCUGAAUUCCGAUUUCUUCAUACGGGAAGUAAAUGCAGCCUAAGAGCAAGCAAAAUCCACGGUUGUACAUGAAUAGGUUAUGCUUAUAUGGGCUAUCGCAUACUUUUUUUUUUCUUUUUUCAAAUCCUAUUAUACUUGAAUUGGGAUUAGUGCUGAUCUAAGUUAGGUGGUGAUUACGGGGGGGGGGGGGGGGGGGGGGGGCUGCUUUCUCAUAGGCUCGGCUAGCAAUAUCUGGUUCUUUGUCAAGAAAUUAAGAAAUUGCUUGGUUAUCUUGCAUUAUGGAUUAUCCCAAAGAUAGUUCAGUUGGCUUGAUUCUUGCAAUGUAAGCUAUAAAUCAUGGGUUCAAGUCUAAGGAAAAUGCAUUCGUUUGGGAUUAGAUAAGAGUGUGGUGCAAUGUUACCUUAAAAAAGUCUCACUUAAUGGAUAGUACACAUUAAUUACAUUAUCUUAAUUUCAUGGUUAUAUUGAUGUGACGUGAAUUUUAACAAGCAUGGAACUCUAUUCUCUUAGAUAGUCAAUCUUUAGAUUCUUAUAUCUUUAAUUUUAUGGUCAGAUAGCAUUGUAAAAACCAACAAUAUAAUUGAUAAUUUAAAGUAAGAAUGUUUGUUUCUUAAAACAUAGUAAAUAGCACCGGCAAAUGAAUUAGAUGAAGACUGUAAAUAUAUGGAAAAAAAUAAUAAUACUAAAUAUAGUGACGUUUGAGUCCUAAUUUUUUGUAUCGCGAUCUAUCGAAUAAUAAAUUUCAUAAGUUGAAAAAUUGUGUAUUUACUAUCUAAUAUACGAAUACUACAUCAAUUCAUACUCAAAGCUUCUUUCUCACUCGUCCUCACUCAAAGGCGGCAAGCAUUUCCGGCAUCUUUGUAGAUUUCCGUUGGCGCAACAACAAGGUUUGAAGCUUUCCUUUUUAUUUUAUUUAAAUUGUCAGAAACUCUUUUUUUUUCCCCGGCUUAUAAUCUUUGCACCCUUGAAGCAAGUGUUUUCAUUCGACACGUGUUGAAAAUUAUUCUAGAAUGAAACUAACCCCUUUUUGCGACACGUGCUUUGAGAAGUCCGAUUUCAUCAAAUAUUCUGAGCUGUAAUAUUAAUAAUAGAUGCUGAAACAGAAAAAGUCACUUAUAGAUUAUUUUGUUUAUUAUUAAUUUUUGUCUAUUCUAUGAAAAUGUGGUCAAUUUCUAGCUCAAAUUACUCUAAAAAUGAUUUUAAGACAUUUUGGCUAAUUCUGGUGUUCACCAGCUGGAAUUUGUCGGAACGAAACCGAUGUAUCAAUUUUAGCGCGGGCGCCACGAAAAAAAAAAAAAGAAAGAAAGAAAAAAAGUUCAUCCACGGUGUGUGGUAGAUGGGUGAAGACAAUUUGAGAACUUGGAAUCAUCAAUGAGGGAAAAAAAUAUGUUGACCACCAGUGUGGAUUAAAGUGAAUACAAUGGCAUUUUGGAAGGUAAUGUUGGAAUAUUUUAUAGUGCCCCAACGUGCCACAUUAUUAAAUUAGUAAUAAUAAAAUAAAUUAUAAGUUGAAAUUUAUUGUUUAAUUGAAAAAAAUUAAAUGUCCAUUUUGAUGGAAAAUGAGAAUUAAGGUUUUAUUAAAAUUGAUUCUCUCUCCGCUCAACAUAUAAAAGAAUAUCACGUUAAUUUUCUCUCCAUCAGAAAGUAAAUCACUCUAAAGAGGUCUAGAGAGAGAAAUUAAUUUUGUCAAUCUUUAAUUCUUGACAGUGAGAUUUGAUCAAGAAAAAUUGCUAUGGAUCAAGAUAUGUUUUUUCUCAAUUAUGAUAAUGUGAAAAUCAUGAUAUUUUAUAAUCUCAGGGAUUAAAGUUUAUUAAAAUUAGGGUUUGUUUGCUUUAUGGGAAUUGAAAAAAAUUCCAACAGGCAAUUCAAGUUUAUCUUCUAGUGGCACACUUUCUCGAAGUGAGAACAGAAUUUUCAAUGGUUGUUUUGCACUGCCGGGCCUAGGUUCGUAAAUCUCCUUUGUUCUUUCUGUAGAAAUUUUAGCUACCAGUCAACAGAGAUUGCUGCUCAAAAUUGCUGGCUUUCGUCAUGGGUGGAAAGUGGAUGAGUUGUAAAAACUAAGCACGCAAUUUGUUGUCAUUCUUCUCAGCCUCUGCAAUGGCUUUUGUACAAAGUGCUUUCGUCAUGGGUGGAAAGUGGAUGAGUUGUAAAAACUAAGCACGCAAUUUGUUGUCAUUCUUCUCAGCCUCUGCAAUGGCUUUUGUACAAAGUGGAUGACCAAAGCACGGCAAUUGAACUUUCGUUGUGUCCAUAUCUUUCGAGAAGGAAAGUUAGUGACAGAUGAUAAUUUAGGACUCUUUUGGUCUUGCUGAAAUUCUCCACCUAGUGAUGUUGUUAAACUUAAAUCUCCGUACAGGGAUUACUACUAGUGGCUGCCUUCUCGUAGGUUCAGCCUAUGAUAUCCGGUUACUUAUCAAGAAAAAAAAAAAUUGUGGUCAUAUUAUCGAAUAUUUCAAAAAGAUAGUCCGAUUGGCUAAAUUCUUACGAUGAAAGCAACAGAUCAUGAAUUCAACUCUAGAGGGAAUACAUUUACUUUGGGGUUGGAUAAGGGAAGGGUGCAAUGUCACCUAAAAAAGUCUGGCAGCGACAUCACACAUUUACAUUAUCAGUCCAUGUAUAUAUUGAUGUAUGCCAAUUGUCAAGAAUUUUCACAAGUUGGGAGUAAUCAGUAAAAUACUCUGCUCUUAUUUAGUCAAUCUUUGGAUUACUAUAUGCUAUUGUAGUCAUAAUAUUGCAAAGUCGUAAAAACCAGCAAUAUAUAUAAUUUAAUGUAACAACGUUUGAUUUUUAAAACAUAAAUAAUAAAGUACAUCACUAUAAUGAAUCUGCUGAAUGACUGAAAAUAUAGUAAAGAAGAUGGUUGUCGAGAUUUAAUUUUUCAUCAAACAAGCUAAUAUUGCUCAAAGGGGAAAAAAAGAAAAAGAAAAUACUACGAGUAUUCUGAAUUUAAAUAGAAAGUUCCUUAAUGGUGGUUUCGGUGUUGAAAACUUUUUCAAUUUAUCGUGUAAAUAGCCUUUUUUUUUUUCACUCUAUUUAGGAUUUAGUCCUCAUUCUCCAUCCUAUUUCUUAAUAAAUUUAAGAAAAAUUGGUAGUUUUCCUCCUAUUAUUAUUAAUAUAUAUCACUUGUCCGGUGCUGUUUCAUAAUAGCAAAUAACUUCUUUGGUAUAAAAAAUUUAAGGAAAACUAGCAACAAAUGGGUCAUUUGUUUGAUAUUUUUAUCUUUGAAAUAUAAAAUAUAUAUUUAUUAUAAGAAAUUUUUUUUAAAAUAACAAAAAGUAUAAGAAAAAUAUCUUAUUAUUAAUUUUUUUUAUUCACGCUCAAAUCUAUGUCUCUAUUUUAAUAUUUAAAUCUGUUUAAAUUAAUUUAUUUAAUUAACAAUAUAUAUGAAUAAAAAAUAAUUUAAAAAUAAGGAUAAUACCGUAAAUUUAUGGCGUCAUGGGGUUAUUGUUUAUUAUGAAAAUAGUAUAUGAAUAAAUGAUAUAUAUUAAUUAUAUAUAUAAUUUCAAUAAUAGGAAAACUAACAAUCUCCCUACAUUUAGUGGGGUGGGGAGAUGAGAAAUCCUCACUUGGAUAUCAGUUUACCCAUCACCCGCUCUUCUUCAUUUUCCUAUUUUAUAUUAGAUUUUUAUAUCUAGUUUGGUGAAAUAAAAAUUAGAAUGACUCAAAUAAAAUCAUCACUAACAUACUAUAAAGUACUUAAAUUAUUAAAAGUAGAAAAACAUCUCCAACAUAUUGGAAUAGUAUCUUGAAUAAUAUAAAAAUGUAAAAUAUUUGUAUAAAUAAUAACUAAAAAAUGUAUAUAUUUAUAUAUAUGGCGGUUGGUGUGGAGGUGGAGUAGCUAAGGAAUACAAAACCAAACAUCACUUUAUUAAAAAUUUGGGAUUAUUUUCCCAUCAUUCUAUGCCCAUUCCCAAAAAAUUCAUAAAAAUAUGUCCCAUUUGGGGUGGAGUUUCGUGGAGUCCCAAAUAUAUAAAGAAUUUUGCCAUGUCUAAUUAAUAUGGAUGAAAAAGUCAGUUGUAGAUAAUUUAAUUUAUUCUUUUUGUCUAGUUCCAUGAAAAAUUUUGUCAAUUUUAGCUCAAAUUACUUUUAAAGAUAUUAAAAAUUAUGGCUAAUUUUAUUUUUCAGCAGCUGGAAUUUGUAGAAACGAAUCCAAAGUACCAAGACAAACAAAAGUAUAGCCGCCAUGCUUGGUGUGUAGUAGACGGGUAAAGACAAUUUCAGAGCUUGGAAAUCUUCAAUGGCGUUCUUGACUGAAAUAAUGAAUAGACCCUACUGAGUAGGAAAUUAGGAAUAUCAACUAAGUAAAAAUGAAACAAACUUGCUGAGGGGACUCCUCUAAGGCGUAGGUGAUAGAGAAGUCCCCAUAACUCAAUUAAUAUAUUUCUAAUUCAUUGAAAUGAAUCAAUUAAUAGUAUAAGAAACCGGGAGUUGUAUAAUUAAUUGGAACAACGGAUUGUUUGGUAUAAAUUGAGCAAGUAUAACUUUUAAGUCAUUGUCCUAAAGAAUUUGGUAAACUCUUGGAAUUGUUAUUUGCAAGUUAAAUUAAUUUUAUUUACAAUUGUAGAAUGAAAAAUCUAUAAUAUAUUUAUUCUUUUUGUUAAAAAAUUAAUUAAAAAACAUAUUUACACACAUUAUUGAUUUUACUUCCAAUCUUUUUUUUUUUUACAGUAACUUAAUAUGAAAUAGGGCUUAACUAAUAAAACUAGUAAUCCGCACAUUGUCAUUUAAUUUUGUUUAUGAAAAUGUGACACUUUUAAACAUUAUGUUUUUUUCUUUUUGUAACUUUAUGUUUUACUCCCUUGCUUUACUCUCUUGCUCCUGUUUCUAAAUACUUAGUUAACUUACAUUAUACUAUCACAAAAAAAAAAAAAAAAAUAGUCGGUUUAAUUCUUGUAAUGAAUGCAAUAAAUCAUGGGUUCAACUCUAAAGGCGACACGUUUAAUUUAGGGUUGGAUAGGGGUGUUAAACGAUAUUAUUACUUUUGUGGAAAAGAAAAUCUUAUAUCAUGGACAUCACAGAUUUACAUUAUCUUUUAUGGUUGAUUAUACUGAGGCACGACAUGAAUUUUUCAAGCUUGGGAGUGAUCAAUAAAACUCUCUGCUCUCAGUCAGUGCAUCUUUGGAUUAUUAUAUGUAUUCUUUUAUGCUCAUAUUGCAAAGUUGUAAAAGCCAGCAACAUAUAUAAUUUAAGGAUCCCUUAAGAAUGUCUGAUUUUUGAAAACAUAAUCAAAUAUGUACACCAUUAAAUGAAUCAGAUGAAGACUGAAAAUAUAUUGAAAAUGGAUUGCGAAGAUUUAAUUUUUCAUUGAACAUUGGGAGCUGUCUUUUGAGAAUUUGACUGUUAUGUUUGUCUUCUAUAGUCGCACGGUAAUAAGAGUAAAGAGAUAAAAUAUAAUUUCCUUCGAUGUUUAGAUAGGUUUCGAAAAAUUUUUAGGGUCCCUUUCGUCGCACGCGCUUUAAGGAAGUCCAAUUUCGUCAAUAUAUAUUUUGACCCCUAAGAUUAAGAUAGAUGCAAAAGUCACCUAUAGAUAAUUCAAUUUGUUCCUUUUCUCUAUGAAAAAAUGGUCAAUUUUGGCUCAAAUUAAUUCCUUUUAAAAGAAUAUUAAAAAAAUUGUAGAUUCUAUGAAAAAUGGUCAAUUUUGGCUCAAAUUAAUUCCUUUUAAAAAAAUUAAAAAAUUGUAGCUAAUUUUAUUUUUCACCAGCUGCAAUUUUUAGAAACGAAUUCAUGUCAAAACAAAAGAAAAAGCCAGGGGUGAAGAGAAUUUGAGAGCUUCAAAGCUUUAAUGAAUUUUUUUUUUGUUUUGUUUGGGGGGGGGGGUGUUUUGGUUCUUGAAUGAGUGAAUAGGAAUAUGAAUUAAGUACAAAUGAAACAAAUGUGCUGCGGUGGGGGCUCAGCUAAGACGAACGCGAUAGCGAAGUACCCGUAAGCCUUUAAUUCAAUUAAGACAUUUCUAAUUGAUUGAAAAACUUCCGUUAGUGUUCAAUUUCAAUUCACCUAAAAACGUUAGGUUUUGGAAUUUAAAUAGGAAAAAUUGUAAAUAAUUUUAUCUUAGCCUUACAAUUUUUUAAAUGCUACAUGUUUAAAUCUUUUACAAAGAUUAAGAAAAAUUAAAUUAGGAGAGAAUUUAAAUCCAUUGGUGAGAUUGCCAUUUUGAAAAUUGCUCAAUCAUCAAUCCAUAUCAUUGAUAGGAAAAUUGAGAUUUUGAUCGCUCUUUAAAGACUUAUUUAUAACUUUUGAGUUGUUUACUAAUAAAUUUUCAUAUAACUCAUUCAUUUAUGAUGGAAAAAAUAUAAAGUGUUGGAAGUGACUUUUUAAACAUAGGAAUUAUCUAGUUUUAAUAGUAGCUAAAGCUCCCAUGUUAUUUAGUUUUGUAUAUGAAAAUAUGACAUCUACCCUUCAAAAUUAGUUUUUUUUUUCAUUUUUUAUUUAUUGUUUAUGUUUUACUAUUUGAUCUGUAGCCAAAUGGUAAAAACAAACUCUAGUAUCUAAGGUUUGAAUUAUCCAGUUGGUUCCUAUAUUUUUAGGAGAAAAAUCACUCAUAUCUCUAAAGUUUGUUUAAAUAGUUACAUGGACUCCCUUUUGUUUUAUAAAUGGUCAUGCACACCCCUCUUUAACUAUUAUACCCUCGAUUACUACAACCGAAUAAUUGACUUUAAAUGAACUUCUAUAAUUAACAUAAAUUAAAAUUAAAAUAAAAGGUUGUAUAGUUUAACAAUGUUGUUUAUAAUGUACUGAAAAUUAACUCUAUUAAGCCGUAUAGUUUAACAGCGUGUUCGCAUUAAGAAUAGUUUUAUAUAUAUAAACACACACCAGUCUAAGAAAGAAGCAGAUUAUAAUCAUGGCUUCUUUAGCUGAUCAGGAGGAAGAGACAAAUAAUUCCUCAUAUGCAAUGGAACUUGCAAGUGCAAUAGUGCUACCUGCAGUAAUGCAAGCAGUGGUAGAGCUUGAUGUGUUUGAGAUCAUAAGCAAAGCCGGUCCUGGUGCUAAGCUUUCGGUUGCGGAGAUUGUGGCUCAAAUUCCCUUAAAAGAUAAUAAUCCUGAAGCUGCAGCCACGACGUUGGAUCGGGUGCUGAGGCUGCUUGUCAGCUACAACGCUCUCCAUUGCUCUUUUGUCGAUUGACAAAGGCUCUACUCUCUUGCUCCUGUUUCAGCAUACUUUGUUCGCAAUAAUCUCUAUUCUUUCGGAAAGAUAUGGGAUUAAUUCGACAAUUUCGGAAAUGCCUGGGAAUAAUGCAGCUUCAAGGGAAAUCUCUAUUUUGGAUACGGUUUUGUUAGUCCAACUUCCUCAUGGAAGAGAGCAGACCAAACAAGAGUACAUUGAAUUGGCAGUCAAAGCUGGAUUUAAAGGUGUCAACUAUGAUUAUGGUGCGUGCAAUUUAUAUGUUAUGGAAUUCUUCAAAUAAAUUGCAUACUUAAUUUCAUUUUGGAAAGAUCUUCUCAACCCUUGGGGAGUUUCCAAUUUCCUAUUUGUGUUAAUUAUUUUCUCUUUUGCUUGGCCUUGGGGCUUGUCUUAUGUACUUUCUUUCAUCUUAUGAAAAUAAUACGUCUCUUAGAAAGAGAUUGAUGGCUGUAUGUGGUACUCCUUAUGUAAUCUUUUUCAGUUCAUACGUUCAGCAUGUGAUUUUUGGUUUAUUAUUGAGGCAAAAAACAAGUAUUUUUAUCUUACCUUACUAUUAUUAUUAUUUUUUUGUUCAUUUCAAAGUUGAAAAAAUCAGUAAUGUAUAACUUUUUUAUCAUUUAAAGUAAGAACAUUUGACUUUUGAAAGAGUAGUUAUAGAGAACUCAUUCUAUGCCAUCUCAACCUCACACAAGAGUAAUUAAAACUAGAGCUAAUGUUAAAGUAGUUCUAAAUUUUGAAUUCAUUACAAACUUAUCCUAAAAAUUUGCCUUAGUGGAGUUUAUGUGUGGUACUGGUGUUUAUUUCAUUUUUAUUUCUAAAAACAUAGUAAAUUAAGUGCACCACUAAGUGAACCAGAUGAAGACUGAAAAUUAUUAAAAAUGGAUUGUGGAGAUUUGGUUUUUCAUCAAACAACUACUAAGAGCUAAUAUUGCUCAAUGGAAGAAGAAAAAAGAAAAAAAAAUCUGAAUAUUAUGAUUAUCUUUGAAAGGUACAAAGUGAAUAGAGAAAAAAAAAAGAAAAAAUUUUGAGUUCCUUUAUUGGACGAGUAUUUUGAUUAGGAGAAAUUUUAUAAUGUUGUAAUUAAAAUGAUGGUAUUAAUGCUGUGAUAAAUAUGAAUUUUGUAAAUUACGCAUAAGACUAGUAAAUGAAAAGUAAAAUAAGUAAAUUAAUAUAAGAAUGGUAAAUUGGCGUCUUAAAACUACAAACUAAACAAAUGCUUAUAAAAAUAACAUAAAACUUGUAAAUCAACAUUAAACUUUAAUUAAAAAAUAAUUUAUUCAUUUAAUUUACAUAAAUGAUGAAAAAAUCACUCAUCAAUUGAAAAAAUAUAUAUAUUUAAAACAAUUGUAAUAAGUUUUAUUGUAUUGUUUAACUAUAUGUUCUAUAUUCAUUCUUGGACAUUAAAAAAAUGAAUCUUUUAAAAAAAAUGAAUCUUUUUCUAUCUAUAGUAUUUGAUACUACACAUGUUAAUUAAGCAAAAAUUAUUUUUUUUGACGUGAAUCAAGCAAAAAAAAAAAAGAUUUUCUUAUAUUACUAGAUGUACAUGAUAUAUCAAUAAAAUUGGAUCUAAUUUUUAGUGCUAUAUAUACUUCAUGUAAUUUUAAACUAUGUUUCUUAUUGUACUUAAAGAUCAUUUGGGUUUACGGUCAAGGAGGCUUAAAAGGAUACAACAUCACCUUAUUUUACAAACAGUGAGGUUUGAAAGUCUAACUUUCAGGAUAUGUUUAUCAUUCUUAUAUUACUAGAUGUACAUGACAUAUCAAUAAAAUUGGAUCUAAUUUUUAGUGUUAUAUAUAUUUCAUGUAAUUUUAAACUAUGUUUCUUAUUGUACUUAAAGAUCAUUUGGGUUUACGGUCAGGGAGGCUUAAAAGGAUACAACAUCACCUUAUUUUACAAACGGUGAUGUUUGAAAGUCUAACUUUCAGGAUAUGUUUAUCAUUCUUAUAUUACUAGAUGUACAUGACAUAUCAAUAAAAUUGGAUCUAAUUUUUAGUGUUAUAUAUAUUUCAUGUAAUUUUAAACUAUGUUUCUUAUUGUACUUAAAGAUCAUUUGGGUUUACGGUCAAGGAGGCUUAAAAGCAUACAACAUCACCUUAUUUUACAAGCAGUGAGGUUUGAAUGUCUAACUUUCAGGAUAGGUUUAUCAUUAAUAAAAUUUCACAUAUGUCAUCACAUAUAUUAUACAACCUCAUAAUGUGACAAUUAGCUUAUAUAUUUACUAAUUUUGAUUCUAAAUUGAGUUUAGAAUCAAAAUUAUGAGCUAAUAGUCACAUUAUGAGUUUUUAUUUUAUAUUUGUAAGUUUUUAUUUUUACAUUAAGGUACUUGUUUUACCUUCUAUUUACAAGUAUUACAUUCUAUUUACAUCAUUUUUAUUUUAUUUUAUGAUUAAUGUUGAUUUACCACUUCUAUGUUACAUGUAUAAGUUUUUAUUUUGUUUAUCAAUAAUAUAAUGAUUUAUCACUUUUAUGUUAAUUUAUUUGUUUUACCUUCUAUUUACAAGUUUUAUGUCCCAUUUACUUUUUUAUGUUUUAUUUACACUUUAAUGUUAAUUUACAAAUUUUAUAUUAUAUGUAUAAGUUUUUGUUUUAUUUACUAAUGAUACACCAAUUAACUACUCCUAUAUUAGUUUACUUAUUUUACCUUCUAUUUACAAAUCUUGUAUUCUAUUUAACACAAAUGUUGGCAUGAGAUUCCUGACAUAUUUCUAAAAUCAAAAUAAGAUGCAUAGAGGACGAUAAUUUUAUUUCAUAAUUAAAAUUUUUGCAAAGAAAGUUUGAAUACGAGAGGGGUGAGAGAUGAGAAUAUUGACGAUGGUGUGUACUUUGGAUGGAAAAAUAGAUUGGAAAUAUAUAUAGACAAAUUAAAAGAAAAAAAAAUCUGGUAUAUGCCUCAAGAAAAAUAAAAAAUUAUAAAUGCAGGCGAUAAAAUGUAUUUAUAAUUUAUAAUUUUUUAUAAAUAUGAUAAUCAUUAGACCCUUAUAAAAGUAUAGCAAAAAGUUUAAAUUUUUUUAAUAAAUGUAGAAGAGGUGGACGAAGAAACCAGCCACCAGUUCAGAAUUUUUUUUUUUGAAUACUGAUUAAUCAUCAUAUUACUGCAUUACACAGAUAUUUACAACUGCUAUUAUAGUAGAUAUAUUACACUGAUAUUUACAAUCAGAAAUACAUGAUUGGAACUUAUAUUAUUACAUUGAAUUCUGUGAAGUACAUGCCCAGAUAAAUAAUCCCUUACAGAAGAGGGAUGUCCAUACUCCACUCGUAUUGCACGAGGGAGAGGAAAUUUUUUGAAAUAUUAAAUAAAUAAGCACGUUAGUCCCCACAAAUACUUUUGUGGAGGCUUGAACCACUGCCCUCACAAUGCUUGUGAGGGCAGCAGCCCACCACUCCGACCAGUUCAGAAUUAACAAUAAAAGAUAUGAAGACUUGAUCGAAGAAAUGUGAAAAAUAAAAGGACACUGGGUUGGUUAGCGGGACCCUAAUUUAAUGGUAAAAAAUAAAAGGACACUGGGUUGCUAUCAAUUUCUACGGUGUGGUACGUUCAUAGCCGGGGAAGUAAUUACAUUAGCGGGACCCUAACAUAAAUAAAAGGACACUGGGUUGGUUAGCGGGACCCUAAUAUUAAUGGUAAAAAAUAAAAGAAAACUGAGUUGCUAUCAAUUUCCACGGUGUAGGUUCAUAGCCGGGGAAGUAAUUAUAUUAGCGGGACCCUAAUAUUAAUGGAGACCUAAUAUUAAUGAUAAAAAAUAAAAGGACACUGGGUUACAAUCAAUUUCUACAGAGUGGGUUCAUAGCCGGAGAAGUAAUUGGGCACAAAUAUCAUGGUGAACACGGAUGAGAAAUAACCAUUUUAUCCCCGCAACUUUAUGUUUAUGGCCUCUAAAAAUUUUCACCUCUUUCACUUCUGGAACCCGCGCUUUCUGGCACAUGCACAAUACUUGGUUGCGACUUAUAGAGAGUUUUAGAAUUGCAACGACAUGGUGCUCUUUGAUAAUUCAAAAAUCCAAUAGAAUUUAUAGAGAAUUACAGAAUUGUGGUACGUGAUAAUUUGCUGAUGCAGUGAGGGGCCGAAAUUCUUGUACAUGUGAUUAAGUUAUAGAUGUAUAAUUAAGUAAUUAGCAAGCACUAAUUGGGGGUAUUUGUGUCCAUGAAAAUUUACAGUUGGUUGUUGACAUUAUACUGUGGGUGCGUAAGUGCAAUCACGAUCUGACCAUUCAAAUUAAAAAAUGGGGGUCCCACUAAUUAUAAAGUUUGUAAUUAUCACAUAUACAGAUAUGGUCGCAUAUGAAAAUCUUAUCAUAAAUUGAAUGGAUUCGAUGACUUAAUUGAAGUUAUGAACGGAUAUUUAAAUAAAAGAAAAUUUAUAAUAAAGAAAAGUAUUAAUUUGUUGUGAAUGUAACUUAUAUAAGCUGUAAGUUAGCGGGACUCUUCAAAUAAUUCUAAUAUUUUGAUUUUUAAUUCUUAUAUUUAAAAAAAUAUCUUUUGUAGUUAAAUAUAUUUUUUUUUUAUCCUUACUUUUACUUUACUUUUAUAAUAAUAGCCUUCUAAUUUUUUUUAACAUUAAUUAAGUUAUUUAUAAAAUUUUAAUUAUAAAAUUUACUAAUAAUUAUUUAUUAAUAAAUUAACUAAUAAAUAUCAGUAUGAAAGAACUAAUAUUUUUUUUAACCCAUGCAAUAAUCUUGCAAAUAAUUUUUUUAUAAAUAAAAAUUAAUAUCAACUAACUUAAAGUGGUGUUUAAUAUCCUUACAAUAAUUAUAUUAAUAUUAAUUUAUAAAAAAUUAAUUUACUAAAUUAAUCUUAAAACUAAAUUAAUAACAUAAAAAUUUAUAAAACUAAUUAUUUUACUUUUCAUCGGCUGCAAUUUGUUGAAACUUGGGUGAAGACAAAUUGAGAUCUUAGAAAUCUCCAAUGAGAUAAUAAAAUAUAAUAUAUAUGUUAGGUCUUUGUUUUUUUUUUUUUUUUUGGUUUAAACCACCCGAUUUCCGACGACCGCAUUGGGCCCCGACUAAUUCGGAUUCGGGAUGUAGUCACAGUUAAGGCUCUUUACCCCUCCCAAAUGGUGUGUUUAGUAGGGAUCGAACCCGAGAGCUCUUUCCACUUACCCAACCUGCGUCGCCAACUGAACCACAACCGUUUGAUUAGGUCUUUGUUCUUUAGAGAAUAGAUCCUAUUGAAAUUUGAACACGAAUAUCGAUUACUCACAAAUAAAAUAAAUUUGCUGAGGCGGCUCGACUAAGACGUACGGGCAGCAUAAUUAAGUCCUCAUAACUCUCAAGUGCAGGCAUCAAAAAAUCAAAACUGAGAAUGACUGGUGAUAUAUAUAUAUAUAUAUAUAGACACCUCAAGCAAUUAAGAAAGAAGCAAAUUAUAAUCAUGGCUUCUAUAGCUGAUCAGGAAGAAGAGACAAAUAAUUUCUCACAUGCAAUGGGACUUGCAAGUGCAAUAGUGCUACCUGCAGUUAUGCAAGCAGUGGUAGAGCUUGAUGUGUUUGAGAUCAUAAGUUAUGAACGGAUAUUUAAAUAAAAGAAAAUUUAUAAUAAAGAAAAGUAUUAAUUUGUUGUGAAUGUAACUUAUAUAAGCUGUAAGUUAGCGGGACUCUUCAAAUAAUUCUAAUAUUUUGAUUUUUAAUUCUUAUAUUUAAAAAAAUAUCUUCUGUAGUUAAAUAUAUUUUAUUUUUAUCCUUACUUUUACUUUACUUUACUUUUAUAAUAAUAGCCUUCUAAAAUUUUUUUAACAUUAAUUAAGUUAUUUAUAAAAUUUUAAUUAUAAAAUUAACUAAUAAAUAUCAGUACGAAAGAAUUAAUAUUUUUUUAACCCAUACAAUAAUCUUGCAAAUAAUUUUUUUAUAAAUAAAAAUUAAUAUCAACUAACUUAAAGUGGUGUUUAAUAUCCUUACAAUAAUUAUAUUAAUAUUUAUUUAUAAAAAAUUAAUUUACCAAAUUAAUCUUAAAACUAAAUUAAUAACAUAAAAAUUUAUAAAACUAAUUAUUUUACUUUUCAUCGGCUGCAAUUUGUUGAAACUUGGGUGAAGACAAAUUGAGAUCUUAGAAAUCUCCAAUGAGAUAAUAAAAUAUAAUAUAUAUGUUAGGUCUUUGUUCUUUAGAGAAUAGGAGUCAUCAUAUAGUACCGCGCUGUAUGUAAUACAGCUGCUUCAACAGUGAAAAAAAAACUUGAACAAUCGGUAUUUUACCGGUUGUUCAUCUAAUAAUUUUUAAAAAAUUUAUUUUUAAUGUGAAAAAAAUAAGGAAAUUUAUAAACAAUUAAUAUUAAAAAGAUUUGAGUAAGAAAAAUAUUUUUAAUUUAAAAAAAAGUUAAAAAAAGAGUAAAAUAAUCAUGUUCCAAUUUUUUUGGUUAAAUAUCAAUAUAUUAGGUGGACGUUUCAAAUUAAUUUCACAUGUCCCUAAUUUUCUUUAAACUUUCUCAAUAAUUGGUUUAUUUGUUUCCACUUCUCAAUCCACUAGUUUUAUGUAUAAUAUUCCUACUAAAUUCGUUAAAUACAAUUUUUUUAGGUUAAAUUCCAAGUAAAUUCAUUUCUCGUUAAAUAAGUUCCUAAAUUUGGUUACACUUUCUCCCUUUUUGGUUUAUAUGUUUCAACUAUUAUUUCACAAAUUUUACGUUCAAUAUUCCAAUUCGCUUGGUAAGAUUUCAUUUAUUUGGGUUAAAUACCGAAAUAAUUUUUUUUGUUAAAUUAGUUCCCAAUUUUGGUUAAGCUUUUUAAUAUUUAAGUUCACAUGUUUCAAAUUAUCAGUCCACUAGUUUUGUGUUAGGUAUUCCUACUAAGUUCGAUCAAUACCAAUAUUUUGGGUUAGAUUCCAAGUAAUUUUCAUUUCCCGUUGGAUGAGUUCCUAAUUUUCGUUAGAUUUUCUCGCUUAUUGGUUCAAAUGUUUCAUCUAAUUAUUCCUCUAGUUUUGUGUUGAAUAUUCCCAUUAACUUAGAUAGAUUCCAAUUAUUUGGGUUAAGUACCGAAUUUAUUUUUCGUAAUUUUAUUUUUGGUUAAGUAUGUUCCUAAUUUUGGUUACACUUUCUUCCUUGUGGGUUUAUACGUUUCAAUUAUUAUUCCACUAGUUUUGUGUUCAAUAUUCCAAUUAAUUUGAUAAGAUUUCAUUUAUUUGGGUUAAAUACCGAAAUAAUUUUUUUUGUUAAAUUAGUUCCCAAUUUUGGUUAAGCUUUUUAAUAUUUAGGUUCACAUGUUUUAAAUUAUUAGUCCACUAGUUUUGUGUUAGGUAUUCCUACUAAGUUCGUUCAAUACCAAUAUUUUGGGUUAGAUUUCAAGUAAUUUUCAUUUCCCGUUGGAUGAGUUCCUAAUUUUCGUUAGAUUUUCUCGCUUAUUGGUUCAAAUGUUUCAUCUAAUUAUUCCUCUAGUUUUGUGUUGAAUAUUCCCAUUAACUUGAACAUAUUCCAAUUAUUUGGGUUAAGUACCGAAUUUAUUUUUCGUAAUUUUAUUUUUGGUUAAAUAAGUCCCUAAUUUUAGUUAUAUUUUCUCCUUUGUGGGGUUAUAUGUUUCAAUUAUAAUUUCACUAGUUUUGUGUUCAAUAUUCCAAUUAACUUGGUAAGAUUUCAUUUAUUUGGAUUAAAUACCGAAAUAAAUUUUUUUGGUUAAAUUAGUUCCCAAAUUUGCUUAAGCUUUUUCAUAUUUAGGUUCGUAUGUUUCAAAUUAUUAGUCCACUAGUUUUAUGUUAGGUAUUCCUACUAAGUUCGUUCAAUACCAAUAUUUUGGGUUAGAUUCCAAGUAAUUUUCAUUUCCCGUUGGAUAAGUUCCUAAUUUUCAUUAGAUUUUCUCACUUAUUGGUUCAAAUAUUUCAUCUAAUUAUUCCUCUAGUUUUGUGUUGAAUAUUCUCAUUAACUUGGACAAAUUCCAAUUAUUUGGGUUAAGUACCGAAUUUAUUUUUCGUAAUUUUAUUUUUGGUUAAGUAGGUUCCUAAUUUGGGUUAUAUUUUCUCAUAUUUACUUUUAUAUGUUUCAACUAUUAUUUCACUAAUUUUGCGUUUAAUAUUCCAAUUAAUUUGGUGAAAUUUCAGUUAUUUAUGUUAAAUAUCAAAAUUACUUGUAUUACCGGAAACAAUAAUUUUAAUAAGUUGAAUUAUGUUUGAACCCUUACUAUUUUAUAAAAUAUCAACUUACCAUAUAAUACUGAAAAACAUUUAUUGUAACCCUUAAUCUUUUCCAAUAUUUUGGGUCCUUAACCUAGUUCCCUUUUAUAUAUAUCAUGAGAUCUCUUGAACUUGAUUGUAUAUAUAAUUGAGCUUUUAGUCUCUAUACAUAUUUAUUCUCAUUUUAUCAUUUUAGUUGAUUAUUUUUAGUUAUUGUUAAAAUAAAUUAAUGCAUUUAUUUUCAUCUCUCUCUUUACUUUUUAAAAUAAUUUCUUUAAUUUUUCAAAACUUCGACAGUAAAUAAAAAAUAACAUGUAAGAGCGCAUGCAAUUGCUAUGCUUCUCCAAAAAAUUAUUUUUAAAAAUUAUGAUGGCAUAAGUUAUAAAAAAAUAUUUAAGCUAACAAAACUUGAAACUUUCUUAAUCUAUUUGUGUUGAAUUUUCUUUUUUUCUUUUUUUGGGAUCAAUUGACUUCAGGAGAUUUCUUGAACUUGAAAUUAUUUAUACUUAACUUUUUAUCUUUAUAAAUGUUAUGCCCAUUUUAUAAUUCAAUUAAUUAUAUUUAUUUAUCUUUAAACUAAAAUAAAUCAAGAAUUAAGAUUUUUUUAAUUCAAAUUAAAUUUUUACCACUGUUUUCUUUUCAAAUUCUUUUUCUUAAUUUCUUAUUACUUCAACCAAAAAUUUAUGCUAUUAAUUAUAAAGAUUAAUAUAUUAUACUUGUAUUAUUAUCACUAUUAUUAUUUUUUUACUCUUACUAAAAUUAUUAUUAUUACUAUCUUGCCCCAUGAGAUUUGUUGACAAUUUUUUUUAAAUAAUGAGUAUCCUUCUUUUCGUUUUUAAGUAUGGAUAUAAUUUUUAAUUUAUAAAAUAAGUUCUUAAAUUUUCAAGACUUAACUAAAAUAAUUUUUAAGAGUUUAUUAUGACUAAUAUGGUUAUGAACAUUUAUUACUAUAGUAGCAACACUUUAUACCAUACCAUUUCAUAUUUAUUACUAUACCAAAAUUUGUUUAUUUAUUUUAUGAUUAUCCCAUGAACUGUGAAAAUUAACUUUUAUAUUAAAAUUGAAAAAUUUGUAAAUUUGUAUUACAUUGAUCCAAUUCUACUAAGCCACAAUUUAUUUAUCUUUAAUUAAUGCUUUAAACACAGUAAACGCAAUUCAAAUUCAACAAUAUUUUGUAAAAUAAAAAAAUAAAAAAAAAAUCAAUGCAAUCAAGAAAGAAGAAAAUAUAUACAUAUACAUAUACAAACACACACACACACACACACACACACACAUAUAUAUAUGUAUGUAUGUAUGUUUAUAUAUGUAUAUAUUUUGUUGAUAUAAAAUUAAUUAUUUACAACUAUAUUAAUAAUUUAAUAUAGAUGAGAUAAACUACUAUGUAAAUAUAUUAAUAAUCAAAUUAUGGCUAUCAGUUAAUUUAGUUGUAAAUCAUUUGAAUUCAAAACAAAACAGUUAAGGUUUGAAUCUAUGGGCGCAAAUUUAGUUGUUAUUAAGCUAUAUUGAAAAAAAAUCAUAUUCAAAUUCAAUUCCUUUUACCAUUACAAUAAAAUUAUAUAUAUAUAAUUUAGAUCCUAUUGAAAUUUGAACACGAAUAUCGAUUACUCACAAAUAAAACAAAUUUGCUGAGGCGGCUCGACUAAGACGUACGGGCAGCAUAAUUAAGUCCUCAUAACUCUCAAGUGCAGGCAUCAAAAAAUCAAAACUGAGAAUGACUGGUGAUAUAUAUAUAUAUAUAUAUAUAUAGACACCUCAAUCAAUUAAGAAAGAAGCAAAUUAUAAUCAUGGCUUCUAUAGCUGAUCAGGAAGAAGAGACAAAUAAUUUCUCACAUGCAAUGGGACUUGCAAGUGCAAUAGUGCUACCUGCAGUUAUGCAAGCAGUGGUAGAGCUUGAUGUGUUUGAGAUCAUAAGCAAAGCCGGUCCUGGUGCUAAGCUUUCGGUUGCGGAGAUUGUGGCUCAAAUUCCCUUAAAAGAUAAUAAUCCUGAAGCUGCAGCCACGACGUUGGAUCGGGUGCUGAGGCUGCUUGUCAGCUACAACGCUCUUCAUUGCUCUUUUGUCGAUGGACAAAGGCUCUACUCUCUUGCUCCUGUUUCUAAACACUUUGUUCGCAACAAUCGAGACGGCGUGUCGUUGCGUCCCUACAUGGCCUUGUGUCUCGACAAGAUCUGCUUGGAUGGCUGGUACAUAGAACUGCUUCUUUUCUUUACCGUUUCAGUAAAUCGAUCAUUUUCAUUCUCAUGAUUUAAAAUCGAUUAAACUCUGUUAAAAAGAUAUUUAAUUUUCAGUUAGUUUACCAUUAAUGUUAUAAAUGACACAAAAAGUAGAAAGUUAAUGAUUUCUUUUUUUUUUUAAUGACGGAGGAUUCUCAAAUAUGAAAACAAAAAUGAUUGAUUUUAACGAACAACAACGUUUUUUUUUUCGUUUCUCGACAAAAAUUAGUUUUUCGAAUUUCAAGGUUAAUUGUGUGGUCUAAUUUUUGAAUCACCAGCACCAAACCAAGCUUCUGAAAUAGUUACUAACUGUGUUUGGAUUUUGAUAAAUUCAGGUUUGGAUUGAAAAAGCAAAUUCUUGAAGGAGGAAUUGCGUUUAAUAAAGCGCACGGAAUGCAAAUCUAUGAUUACUUAGGCGUCGACUCAAGGUUCAAUGAUGUUUUCAACAAUGGAAUGUUAAGCCACACUUCUAUUGUCAUGGAGAAGGUCCUAGAAUCAUACAAAGGCUUUGAGCAUGUUAAAAAGCUUGUGGAUGUUGGCGGUGGCUUGGGGAUCACUCUUAAUAUGAUAAUUUCAAAAUAUCCUCAUAUUAAGGGUAUUAAUUAUGACUUACCUUAUGUCAUUAAAGAUGCCCCAUCUUAUUCAGGUACUUUAUUUAUAAAAUUUGUAUAGUAUUUUUGUUAAUGAUUCAUCGAUGUUACACUAGCUAACAAAAGUUAGUUUAUUUAAAUUUCAGGGAUAAAACAUAUAGGUGGAGAUUUGUUCAAAAGUAUUCCUGAGGCAGAUACUAUUUUUAUGAAGGUUUAUAUUUUUUUAUAUCACUUGAAAUCAUCAUAAGGAAAAAUUAAAUAGAGAGAAUGACACUUUUCUCCCUAUUGUUUUUGAGUUAAGAUGUAUCCUAACCCUGUUGCUCACUUGGUAUUAGAACUUUGAUAGAAAAAUUCAAAGGGAUAAUAGGAUAUUAUGAAAACUAUUAAAAGAAAAAAAAUGGUGAAACUCAAAACUAUAUAUACAAGGAAAGUGUCAACAACUCUCUUUUUUUCUUCAAUGGUAAAAUGGGUGGGCAAAGCCCAAAUUAACUAAUUAUUGAUCCCAUAUCUCCCUUGAGUUCAAACUUGGGUGACAGUUAAAUAAAAUUGAUUGAAAACAAUUCGAUCAGGCACCUCGGGUGGAAAAUAUCAAUCUCUCUUCUUUAUGAAUGCUUUGUUCAAUCACAUAAAUUGAUCAUAGAUAUCCGGAUAGAACAAAUGAGAAUUAAUAUGAAUACAUGGAACUUUUGCAGUGGAUGCUUCAUAGUUUUGAUGAUGAACAAGCCUUGAAAGUGUUGAAGAAUUGUUAUAAAGCUCUUCCAUAUGGUGGGAAGCUGCUUAAUAUUAAUUCGACAAUUUCGGAAAUGCCUGGGAAUAAUGUAGCUUCAAGGGAAAUCUCUAUUUUGGAUACGGUUUUGUUAGUCCAACUUCCUCAUGGAAGAGAGCGGACCAAACAAGAGUACACUGAAUUGGCAGUCAAAGCUGGAUUUAAAGGUGUCAACUAUGAUUAUGGUGCGUGCAAUUUAUAUGUUAUGGAAUUCUUCAAAUAAAUUGCAUACUUAAUUUCAUUUUGGAAAGAUCUUCUCAACCCUUGGGGAGUUUCCAAUUUCCUAUUUGUGUUAAUUAUUUUCUCUUUUGCUUGGCCUUGGGGCUUGUCUUAUGUACUUUCUUUCAUCUUAUGAAAAUAAUACGUCUCUUAGAAAGAGAUUGAUGGCUGUAUUUGGUACUUCUUAUGUAAUCUUUUUCAGUUCAUACAUUCAGCAUGUGAUUUUUGGUUUAUUAUUGAGGCAAAAAAGAAGUAUUUUUAUCUUGCCUUACUAUUAUUAUUAUUUUUUUGUUCAUUUCAAAGUUGAAAAAAUCAGUAAUGUAUAACUUUUUUAUCAUUUAAAGUAAGAACAUUUGACUUUUGAAAGAGUAGUUAUAGAGAACUCAUUCUAUGCCAUCUCAACCUCACACAAGAGUAAUUAAAACUAGAGCUAAUGUUAAAGUAGUUCUAAAUUUUGAAUUCAUUACAAACUUAUCCUAAAAAUUUGCCUUAGUGGAGUUUAUGUGUGGUACUGGUGUUUAUUUCAUUUUUAUUUCUAAAAACAUAGUAAAUUAAGUGCACCACUAAGUGAACCAGAUGAAGACUGAAAAUUAUUGAAAAAUGGAUUGUGGAGAUUUGGUUUUUCAUCAAACAACUACUAAGAGCUAAUAUUGCUCGAUGGAAAAAGAAAAAAAAUCUGAAUAUUAUGAUUAUCUUUGAAAGGUACAUAGUGAAUAGAGAAAAAAAAAAGAAAAAAAUUUGAGUUCCUUUAUUGGACGAGUAUUUUGAUUAGGAGAAAUUUUAUAAUGUUGUAAUUAAAAUGAUGGUAUCAAUGCCGUGAUAAAUAUGAAUUUUGUAAAUUACGCAUAAGACUGGUAAAUGAAAAGUAAAAUAAGUAAAUUAAUAUAAGAGUGGUAAAUUGGCGUCUUAAAACUACAAACUAAACAAAUAUUUAUAAAAAUAACAUAAAACUUGUAAAUCAACAUUAAACUUUAAUUAAAAAAAUAAUUUAUUCAUUUAAUUUACAUAAAUGAUGAAAAAAUCACUCAUCAAUUGAAAAAAUAUAUAUUUAAAACAAUUGCAAUAAGUUUUAUUGUAUUGGUUUAACUAUAUAUUCUAUAUUCAUUCUUCGACAUAAAAAAAAAUGAAUCUUUUAAAAAAAAAUGAAUCUUUUUCUAUCUAUAGUAUUUGAUACUACACAUGUUAAUUAAGCAAAAAUUUUUUUUUUUUUACGUGAAUCAAGCAAAAAAAAAAAAGAUUUUCUUAUAUUACUAGAUGUACAUGAUAUAUCAAUAAAAUUGGAUCUAAUUUUUAGUGCUAUAUAUACUUCAUGUAAUUUUAAACUAUGUUUCUUAUUGUACUUAAAGAUUAUUUGGGUUUACGGUCAAGGAGGCUUAAAAGGAUAUAACAUCACCUUAUUUUACAAGCAGUGAGGUUUGAAAGUCUAACUUUCAGGAUAUGUUUAUCAUUCUUAUAUUACUAGAUGUACAUGACAUAUCAAUAAAAUUGGAUCUAAUUUUUAGUGUUAUACAUAUUUCAUGUAAUUUUAAACUAUGUUUCUUAUUGUACUUAAAGAUCAUUUGGGUUUACGGUCAAGGAAGCUUAAAAGCAUACAACAUCACCUUAUGUUACAAGCAGUGAGGUUUGAAAGUCUAACUUUCAGGAUAGAUUUAUCAUUAAUAAAAUUUCACAUAUGUCAUCACAUAUAUUAUACAACCUCAUAAUGUGACAAUUAGCUUAUAUAUUUACUAAUUUUGAUUCUAAAUUGAGUUUAGAAUCAAAAUUAUGAGCUAAUAGUCACAUUAUGAGUUUUUAUUUUAUAUUUGUAAGUUUUUAUUUUUUUAAUAACUCUUAUAUUAAGGUACUUGUUUUACCUUCUAUUUACAAGUAUUACAUUCUAUUUAUAUCAUUUAUAUUUUAUUUUAUGAUUAAUGUGGAUUUACCACUUCUAUGUUACAUGUAUAAGUUUUAUUUUAUUUAUCAAUAAUAUAAUGAUUUAUCACUUUUAGGUUAAUUUAUUUGUUUUACCUUCUAUUUACAAGUUUUAUGUCCCAUUUACUUUUUUAUGUUUUAUUUACACUUUAAUGUUAAUUUACAAGUUUUAUACUAUAUGAAUAAGUUUUUGUUUUAUUUACUAAUGAUACACCAAUUAACUACUCCUAUAUUAGUUUACUUAUUUUACCUUCUAUUUACAAAUCUUGUAUUCUAUUUAACACAAAUGUUGGCAUGAGAUUCCUGACAUAUUUCUAAAAUCAAAAUAAGAUGCAUAGAGGACAAUAAUUUUAUUUCAUAAUUAAAAUUUUUGUAAAGAAAGUUUGAAUAUGAGAGGGGUGAGAGAUGAGAAUAUUGACGAUGGUGUGUACUUUGGAUGGAAAAAUAGAUUGAAAAUAUAUAUAGACAUAUUAAAAGAAAAAAAUAUGAUCUAUACCUCAAGAGAAAUAAGAAAUUAUAAAUGCAGGUGGUCAAAUGUAUUUAUAAUUUAUAAUUUUUUAUAAAUAUGAUAAUCAUUAGACCAAUAUAAAAGUCUAGCAAAAAGUUUAAAUUUUUUUAAUAAAUGUAGAAGAGAUGGACGAAGAAACCAGCCAACAGUUCAGAAUUAACAAUUAAAGAUAUGAGGACUUGAUCGAAGAAAUGUGAAAAAUAAAAGGACACUGGGUUGGUUAGCGGGACCCUAAUUUAAUGGUAAAAAAUAAAAGGACACUGGGUUGCUAUCAAUUUCUACGGUGUGGUACGUUCAUAGCCGGGGAAGUAAUUGUAUUAGCGGGACCCUAACAUUAAUAAAAGGACACUGGGUUGUUUAGCGGGACCCUAAUAUUAAUGGUAAAAAAUAAAAGGAAACUGAGUUGGUAUCAAUUUCUACGGUGUAGGUUCAUAGCCGGGGAAGUAAUUAUAUUAGCGGGACCCUAAUAUUAAUGGAGACCUAAUAUUAAUGAUAAAAAAUAAAAGGACACUGGGUUACAAUCAAUUUCUACAGAGUGGGUUCAUAGCCGGAGAAGUAAUUGGGCACAAAUAUCAUGGUGAACACGGAUGAGAAAUAACCAUUUUAUCCCCGCAACUUUAUGUUUAUGGCCUCUAAAAAUUUUCACCUCUUUCACUUCUGGAACCCGCGCUUUCUGGCACAUGCACAAUACUUGGUUGCGACUUAUAGAGAGUUUUAGAAUUGCAACGACAUGGUGCUCUUUGAUAAUUCAAAAAUCCAAUAGAAUUUAUAGAGAAUUACAGAAUUGUGGUACGUGAUAAUUUGCUGAUGCAGUGAGGGGCCGAAAUUCUUGUACAUGUGAUUAAGUUAUAGAUGUAUAAUUAAGUAAUUAGCAAGCACUAAUUGGGGGUAUUUGUGUCCAUGAAAAUUUACAGUUGGUUGUUGACAUUAUACUGUGGGUGCGUAAGUGCAAUCACGAUCUGACCAUUCAAAUUAAAAAAUGGGGGUCCCACUAAUUAUAAAGUUUGUAAUUAUCACAUAUACAGAUAUGGUCGCAUAUGAAAAUCUUAUCAUAAAUUGAAUGGAUUCGAUGACUUAAUUGAAGUUAUGAACGGAUAUUUAAAUAAAAGAAAAUUUAUAAUAAAGAAAAGUAUUAAUUUGUUGUGAAUGUAACUUAUAUAAGCUGUAAGUUAGCGGGACUCUUCAAAUAAUUCUAAUAUUUUGAUUUUUAAUUCUUAUAUUUAAAAAAAUAUCUUUUGUAGUUAAAUAUAUUUUUUUUUUAUCCUUACUUUUACUUUACUUUUAUAAUAAUAGCCUUCUAAUUUUUUUUAACAUUAAUUAAGUUAUUUAUAAAAUUUUAAUUAUAAAAUUUACUAAUAAUUAUUUAUUAAUAAAUUAACUAAUAAAUAUCAGUAUGAAAGAACUAAUAUUUUUUUAACCCAUGCAAUAAUCUUGCAAAUAAUUUUUUUAUAAAUAAAAAUUAAUAUCAACUAACUUAAAGUGGUGUUUAAUAUCCUUACAAUAAUUAUAUUAAUAUUAAUUUAUAAAAAAUUAAUUUACUAAAUUAAUCUUAAAACUAAAUUAAUAACAUAAAAAUUUAUAAAACUAAUUAUUUUACUUUUCAUCGGCUGCAAUUUGUUGAAACUUGGGUGAAGACAAAUUGAGAUCUUAGAAAUCUCCAAUGAGAUAAUAAAAUAUAAUAUAUAUGUUAGGUCUUUGUUUUUUUUUUUUUUUUUUGGUUUAAACCACCCGAUUUCCGACGACCGCAUUGGGCCCCGACUAAUUCGGAUUCGGGGUGUAGUCACAGUUAAGGCUCUUUACCCCUCCCAAAUGGUGUGUUUAGUAGGGAUCAAACCCGAGAGCUCUUUCCACUUACCCAACCUGCGUCGCCAACUGAACCACAACCGUUUGAUUAGGUCUUUGUUCUUUAGAGAAUAGAUCCUAUUGAAAUUUGAACACGAAUAUCGAUUACUCACAAAUAAAAUAAAUUUGCUGAGGCGGCUCGACUAAGACGUACGGGCAGCAUAAUUAAGUCCUCAUAACUCUCAAGUGCAGGCAUCAAAAAAUCAAAACUGAGAAUGACUGGUGAUAUAUAUAUAUAUAUAUAUAGACACCUCAAGCAAUUAAGAAAGAAGCAAAUUAUAAUCAUGGCUUCUAUAGCUGAUCAGGAAGAAGAGACAAAUAAUUUCUCACAUGCAAUGGGACUUGCAAGUGCAAUAGUGCUACCUGCAGUUAUGCAAGCAGUGGUAGAGCUUGAUGUGUUUGAGAUCAUAAGCAAAGCCGGUCCUGGUGCUAAGCUUUCGGUUGCGGAGAUUGUGGCUCAAAUUCCCUUAAAAGAUAAUAAUCCUGAAGCUGCAGCCACGACGUUGGAUCGGGUGCUGAGGCUGCUUGUCAGCUACAACGCUCUUCAUUGCUCUUUUGUCGAUGGACAAAGGCUCUACUCUCUUGCUCCUGUUUCUAAACACUUUGUUCGCAACAAUCGAGACGGCGUGUCGUUGCGUCCCUACAUGGCCUUGUGUCUCGACAAGAUCUGCUUGGAUGGCUGGUACAUAGAACUGCUUCUUUUCUUUACCGUUUCAGUAAAUCGAUCAUUUUCAUUCUCAUGAUUUAAAAUCGAUUAAACUCUGUUAAAAAGAUAUUUAAUUUUCAGUUAAUUUACCUUUAAUGUUAUAAAUGACACAAAAAGUUGAAAGUUAAUAAUUUCUUUUUUUUUUAAUGACGGAGGAUUCUCAAAUAUGAAAACAAAAAUGAUUGAUUUUAACGAACAACAACGUUUUUUUUUUUUUUUUUUAUCGUUUCUCGACAAAAAUUAGUUUUUCGAAUUUCAAGGUUAAUUGUGUGGUCUAAUUUUUGAAUCACCAGCACCAAACCAAGCUUCUGAAAUAGUUACCAACUGUGUUUGGAUUUUGAAAAAUUCAGGUUUGGAUUGAAAAAGCAAAUUCUUGAAGGAGGAAUUGCGUUUAAUAAAGCGCACGGAAUGCAAAUCUAUGAUUACUUAGGCGUCGACUCAAGGUUCAAUGAUGUUUUCAACAAUGGAAUGUUAAGUCACACUUCUAUUGUCAUGGAGAAGGUCCUAGAAUCAUACAAAGGCUUUGAGCAUGUUAAAAAGCUUGUGGAUGUUGGCGGUGGCUUGGGGAUCACUCUUAAUAUGAUAAUUUCGAAAUACCCUCAUAUUAAGGGUAUUAAUUAUGACUUACCUUAUGUUAUUAAAGAUGCCCCAUCUUAUUCAGGUACUUUAUUUAUAAAAUCUGUAUAACAUAUUUGUUAAUGAUUCAUCGAUGCUACACUAGCUAACAAAAGUUAGUUUAUUUAAAUUUCAGGGAUAGAACAUAUCGGUGGAGAUUUGUUCGAAAGUAUUCCUGAGGCAGAUACUAUUUUUAUGAAGGUUUAUAUUUUCUUAUAUCACUUGAAAUCAUCAUAAGGAAAAAUUAAAUAGAGAGAAUGACAUUUUUCUCCCUAUUGUUUUUGAGUUAACACGUACCCUAACCAUGUUACUCACUUGGUAUUAGAACUUUGAUAGAAAAAUUCAAAGGGAUAAUAAGAUAUUAUGAAAACUAUUAAAAGAAAAAAAAAGGUAAAACUCAAAACUAUAUAUACAAGGAAAGUGUCAACAACUCUCUUUUUUUCUUCAAUGGUAAAAUGGGUGGGCAUAGCCCAAAUUAACUAAUUAUUGAUCCCAUAUCUCCCUUGAGUUCAAACUUGGGUGACAAUUAAAUAAAAUUGAUUGAAAACAAUUCGAUCAGGCACCUCGGGUGGAAAGUAUCAAUCUCUCUUCUUUAUGAAUGCUUUGUUCAAUCACAUAAAUUGAUCAUAGAUAUCCGGAAAAGAACAAAUGAGAAUUAAUAUGAAUACAUGGAACUUUUGCAGUGGAUGCUUCAUAGUUUUGAUGAUGAACAAGCCUUGAAAGUGUUGAAGAAUUGUUAUAAAGCUCUUCCAGAUGGUGGGAAGCUGCUUAAUAUUAAUUCGACAAUUUCGGAAAUGCCUGGGAAUAAUGUAGCUUCAAGGGAAAUCUCUAUUUUGGAUACGGUUUUGUUAGUCCAACUUCCUCAUGGAAGAGAGCGGACCAAACACGAGUACACUGAAUUGGCAGUCAAAGCUGGAUUUAAAGGUGUCAACUAUGAUUAUGGUGCGUGCAAUUUAUAUGUUAUGGAAUUCUUCAAAUAAAUUGCAUACUUAAUUUCAUUUUGGAAAGAUCUUCUCAACCCUUGGGGAGUUUCCAAUUUCCUAUUUGUGUUAAUUAUUUUCUCUUUUGCUUGGCCUUGGGGCUUGUCUUAUGUACUUUCUUUCAUCUUAUGAAAAUAAUACGUCUCUUAGAAAGAGAUUGAUGGCUGUAUGUGGUACUCCUUAUGUAAUCUUUUUCAGUUCAUACGUUCAGCAUGUGAUUUUUGGUUUAUUAUUGAGGCAAAAAAGAAGUAUUUUUAUCUUACCUUACUAUUAUUAUUAUUAUUUUUUGUUCAUUUCAAAGUUGAAAAAAUCAGUAAUGUAUAACUUUUUUAUCAUUUAAAGUAAGAACAUUUGACUUUUGAAAGAGUAGUUAUAGAGAACUCAUUAUAUGCCAUCUCAACCUCACACAAGAGUAAUUAAAACUAGAGCUAAUGUUAAAGUAGUUCUAAAUUUUGAAUUCAUUACAAACUUAUCCUAAAAAUUUGCCUUAGUGGAGUUUAUGUGUGGUACUGGUGUUUAUUUCAUUUUUAUUUCUAAAAAUAUAGUAAAUUAAGUGCACCACUAAGUGAACCAGAUGAAGACUGAAAAUUAUUAAAAAUGGAUUGUGGAGAUUUGGUUUUUCAUCAAACAACUACUAAGAGCUAAUAUUGCUCGAUGGAAAAAGAAAAAAGAAAACAAAUCUGAAUAUUAUGAUUAUCUUUGAAAGGUGCAUAGUGAAUAGAGAAAAAAAAAAAGAAAAAAUUUUGAGUUCCUUUAUUGGACGAGUAUUUUGAUUAGGAGAAAUUUUAUAAUGUUGUAAUUAAAAUGAUGGUAUUAAUGCCGUGAUAAAUAUGAAUUUUGUAAAUUACGCAUAAGACUAGUAAAUGAAAAGUAAAAUAAGUAAAUUAAUAUAAGAAUGGUAAAUUGGCGUCUUAAAACUACAAACUAAACAAAUGCUUAUAAAAAUAACAUAAAACUUGUAAAUCAACAUUAAACUUUAAUUAAAAAAAUAAUUUAUUCAUUUAAUUUACAUAAAUGAUGAAAAAAUCACUCAUCAAUUGAAAAAAAAAAACUAUUUAAAACAAUUGUAAUAAGUUUUUAUUGUAUUGGUUUAACUAUAUGUUCUAUAUUCAUUCUUGCACAUUAAAAAAACGAAUCUUUAAAAAAAAAUGAAUCUUUUUCUAUCUAUAGUAUUUGAUACUACACAUGUUAAUUAAGCAAAAAUUAUUUUUUUUUGACGUGAAUCAAGCAAAAAAAAAAAAAGAUUUUCUUAUAUGACUAGAUGUACAUGAUAUAUCAAUAAAAUUGGAUCUAAUUUUUAGUGUUAUAUAUACUUCAUGUAAUUUUAAACUAUGUUUCUUAUUGUACUUAAAGAUCAUUUGGGUUUACGGUCAAGGAGGCUUAAAAGGAUACAACAUCACCUUAUUUUACAAACAGUGAGGUUUGAAAGUCUAACUUUCAGGAUAUGUUUAUCAUUCUUAUAUUACUAGAUGUACAUGACAUAUCAAUAAAAUUGGAUCUAAUUUUUAGUGUUAUAUAUAUUUCAUGUAAUUUUAAACUAUGUUUCUUAUUGUACUUAAAGAUCAUUUGGGUUUACGGUCAAGGAGGCUUAAAAGCAUACAACAUCACCUUAUUUUACAAGCAGUGAGGUUUGAAUGUCUAACUUUCAGGAUAGGUUUAUCAUUAAUAAAAUUUCACAUAUGUCAUCACAUAUAUUAUACAACCUCAUAAUGUGACAAUUAGCUUAUAUAUUUACUAAUUUUGAUUCUAAAUUGAGUUUAGAAUCAAAAUUAUGAGCUAAUAGUCACAUUAUGAGUUUUUAUUUUAUAUUUGUAAGUUUUUAUUUUUACAUUAAGGUACUUGUUUUACCUUCUAUUUACAAGUAUUACAUUCUAUUUACAUCAUUUAUAUUUUAUUUUAUGAUUAAUGUUGAUUUACCACUUCUAUGUUACAUGUAUAAGUUUUUAUUUUGUUUAUCAAUAAUAUAAUGAUUUAUGACUUUUAUGUUAAUUUAUUUGUUUUACCUUCUAUUUACAAGUUUUAUGUCCCAUUUACUUUUAUUUACACUUUAAUGUUAAUUUACAAAUUUUAUAUUAUAUGUAUAAGUUUUUGUUUUAUUUACUAAUGAUACACCAAUUAACUACUCCUAUAUUAAUUUACUUAUUUUACCUUCUAUUUACAAAUCUUGUAUUCUAUUUAACACAAAUGUUGGCAUGAGAUUCCUGACAUAUUUCUAAAAUCAAAAUAAGAUGCAUAGAGGAUGAUCAUUUUAUUUCAUAAUUAAAAUUUUUGUAAAGAAAGUUUGAAUAUGAGAGGGGUGAGAGAUGAGAAUAUUGACGAUAGUGCGUACUUUGGAUGGAAAAAUAGAUUGAAAAUAUAUAUAGACAUAUUAAAAGAAAAAAAUCUGAUCUAUACCUCAAGAGAAAUAAGAAAUUAUAAAUGCAGGUGGUCAAAUGUAUUUAUAAUUUAUAAUUUUUUAUAAAUAUGAUAAUCAUUAGACCCAUAUAAAAGUAUAGCAAAAUGUUUAAAUUUUUUUUAAUAAAUGUAGAAGAGAUGGACGAAGAAAACAGCCACCAGUUCAGAAUUAACAAUCAAAGAUAUGAGGACUUGAUCGAAGAAAUGUGAAAAAUAAAAGGACACUGGGUUGGUUAGCGGGACCCUAAUUUAAUGGUAAAAAAUAAAAGGACACUGGGUUGCUAUCAAUUUCUACGGUGUGGUAGGUUCAUAGCAGGGGAAGUAAUUAUAUUAGCGGGACCCUAACAUUAAUAAAAGGACACUGGGUUGUUUAGCGGGACCCUAAUAUUAAUGGUAAAAAAUAAAAGGAAACUGAGUUGGUAUCAAUUUCUACGGUGUAGGUUCAUAGCCGGGGAAGUAAUUAUAUUAGCGGGACCCUAAUAUUAAUGGAGACCUAAUAUUAAUGAUAAAAAAUAAAAGGACACUGGGUUACAAUCAAUUUCUACAGAGUGGGUUCAUAGCCGGAGAAGUAAUUGGGCACAAAUAUCAUGGUGAACACGGAUGAGAAAUAACCAUUUUAUCCCCGCAACUUUAUGUUUAUGGCCUCUAAAAAUUUUCACCUCUUUCACUUCUGGACCCGCGCUUUCUGGCACAUGCACGAUACUUGGUUGCGACUUAUAGAGAGUUUUAGAAUUGCAACGACAUGGUGCUCUUUGAUAAUUCAAAAAUCCAAUAGAAUUUAUAGAGAAUUACAGAAUUGUGGUACGUGAUAAUUUGCUGAUGCAGUGAGGGGCCGAAAUUCUUGUACAUGUGAUUAAGUUAGAGAUGUAUAAUUAAGUAAUUAGCAAGCACUAAUGGGGGGUAUUUGUGUCCAUGAAAAUUUACGGUUGGUUGUUGACAUUAUACUGUGGGUGCGUAAGUGUAAUCACGAUCUGACCAUUCAAAUUAAAAAAUGGGGGUCCCACUAACUAUAAAGUUAAUAAUUAUCACAUAAACAGGGGGAAUUUUAGGUGCAACUGUGACACCGUGCCACAGUUGCACCUAGUCAUUGGAUGUCAGUAGACUCUAUUACUCCAACUGCAUCCAACGGUUAGAUGCAAUUGUGGCACGGUGCCACAGUUACACCGUAGCCUGAUCCCAUAUACAGAUAUGGUCGCAUAUGAAAAUCUUAUCAUAAAUUGAAAGGAUUCGAUGACUUAAUUGAAGUUAUGAACGGAUAUUUAAAUAAAAGAAAAUUUAUAAUAAAGAACAAGUAUUAAUUUGUUAUGAAUGUAACUUAUAUAAGCUGUAAGUUAGCGGGACUCUUCAAGUAAUUCUAAUAUUUUGAUUUUUAAUUUUUAUAUUUUAAAAAAUAUCUUCUGUAGUUAAAUAUAUUUUAUUUUUAUCCUUACUUUUACUUUACUUUUACAAUAAUAGCCUUCUAAAAAUUUUUUAACAUUAAUUAAGUUAUUUAUAAAAUUUUAAUUAUAAAAUUAACUAAUAAUUAUUUAUUAAUAAAUUAACUAAUAAAUAUCAGUACGAAAGAACUAAUAUUUUUUUAACCCAUGCAAUAAUCUUGCAAAUAAUUUUUUUAUAAAUAAAAAUUAAUAUCAACUAACUUAAAGUGGUUUUUAAUAUCCUUACAAUAAUUAUAUUAAUAUUUAUUUAUAAAAAAUUAAUUUGCCAAAUUAAUCUUAAAACUAAAUUAAUAACAUAAAAAUUUAUAAAACUAAUUAUUUUACUUUUCAUCGGCUGCAAUUUGUUGAAACUUGGGUGAAGACAAAUUGAGAUCUUAGAAAUCUCCAAUGAGAUAAUAAAAUAUAAUACAUAUGUUAGGUCUUUGUUCUUUAGGGAAUAGAUCCUAUUGAAAUUUGAACACGAAUAUCGAUUACUCACAAAUAAAACAAAUUUGCUGAGGCGGCUCGACUAAGACGUACGGGCAGCAUAAUUAAGUCCUCAUAACUCUCAAGUGCAGGCAUCAAAAAAUCAAAACUGAGAAUGACUGGUGAUAUAUAUAUAUAUAUAUAUAUAUAUAUAGACACCUCAAGCAAUUAAGAAAGAAGCAAAUUAUAAUCAUGGCUUCUAUAGCUGAUCAGGAAGAAGAGACAAAUAAUUUCUCACAUGCAAUGGGACUUGCAAGUGCAAUAGUGCUACCUGCAGUUAUGCAAGCAGUGGUAGAGCUUGAUGUGUUUGAGAUCAUAAGCAAAGCCGGUCCUGGUGCUAAGCUUUCGGUUGCGGAGAUUGUGGCUCAAAUUCCCUUAAAAGAUAAUAAUCCUGAAGCUGCAGCCACGACGUUGGAUCGGGUGCUGAGGCUGCUUGUCAGCUACAACGCUCUUCAUUGCUCUUUUGUCGAUGGACAAAGGCUCUACUCUCUUGCUCCUGUUUCUAAACACUUUGUUCGCAACAAUCGAGACGGCGUGUCGUUGCGUCCCUACAUGGCCUUGUGUCUCGACAAGAUCUGCUUGGAUGGCUGGUACAUAGAACUGCUUCUUUUCUUUACCGUUUCAGUAAAUCGAUCAUUUUCAUUCUCAUGAUUUAAAAUCGAUUAAACUCUGUUAAAAAGAUAUUUAAUUUUCAUUUAAUUUACCAUUAAUGUUAUAAAUGACACAAAAAGUUGAAAGUUAAUAAUUUCUUUUUUUUUAAUGACGGAGGAUUCUCAAAUAUGAAAACAAAAAUGAUUGAUUUUAACGAACAACAACGUUUUUUUUUUUUUUUUUUUAUCGUUUCUCGACAAAAAUUAGUUUUUCGAAUUUCAAGGUUAAUUGUGUGGUCUAAUUCUUGAAUCACCAGCACCAAACCAAGCUUCUGAAAUAGUUGCUAACUGUGUUUGGAUUUUGGAAAAUUCAGGUUUGGAUUGAAAAAGCAGAUUCUUGAAGGAGGAAUUGCGUUUAAUAAAGCGCACGGAAUGCAAAUCUAUGAUUACCUAGGCGUCGACUCAAGGUUCAAUGAUGUUUUCAAUAAUGGAAUGUUAAGCCACACUUCUAUUGUCAUGGAGAAGGUCCUAGAAUCAUACAAAGGCUUUGAGCAUGUUAAGAAGCUUGUUGAUGUUGGCGGCGGCUUAGGAACUACCCUGAACAUGAUAAUUUCCAAAUACCCUCAUAUUAAGGGUAUUAAUUAUGAUCUGCCUUAUGUCAUUAAAGAUGCCCCAUCUUAUCCUGGUAUGUUAUUUACAAAAUUUAUAUAGUAUGUUGGGUAAUGAUUUAUUGAUGCUACCCUAACUAAAAGAUGUGAAUUUAUUUAAAUUUCAGGCAUCGAACACGUGGGUGGAGAUUUAUUCGAAAAUGUUCCUGAGGCGGAUACCAUUUUCAUGAAGGUUUUUUCUCUCUAUCUAUAUAUAUAACUUUGAAAUGAUAAUUAUCAAGAGAAUGACAAUUUUCUCCUUACUGCUUUUGAGUUUUACAAUUUACUCAUUUGACGUCAAUUUUUUCAUUGAAAAACUCAAAAGGAUAACAAGAUAUUAUGAAAAUCGAAAAAAAAACAAUAAAACUCAAAAAUAGUAUACCGGAAAAAGUGUAAAUCUAUCUUGUCUAUGAAUUGAUAAUUGAUAUUCAAUUACAACUAAUUAAUGAGAAUUGAUAUGUAUAUGAAUUUUUUUUUGCAGUGGAUGCUUCACAAUUUUGAUGAUGAGCAAACUUUGAAAUUGUUGAAGAAUUGUUACAAAGCUCUUCCAGAUGGUGGGAAGCUGCUCAAUAUUAAUUCAACAAUUUCAGAAGUGCCUCAAAAUAGUGCGGCUUCAAGGGAAAUCUCUAUUUUGGAUACAAUUUUGUUGAUCCAAAUUCCUCAUGGAAGAGAGCGCACCAAACAAGAAUACAAUGAAUUGGCAAUUAAAGCUGGAUUUAAAGGUGUCAGCUACGAAUGUGGUGUAUGUAAUUUAUAUGUUAUGGAGUUCUUGAAAUAGAUUGCUUUUUUCUCUAUUCGGAAAGAUCUCCUUAGCUUUCUUGGGUUGUUUUCAAUUUCCGGUUUGUCUUGUUAUCUCUUUCCUUUGGAUUGAGGGCUUCUCUUAUGUAAUCUCUUUCGUUUUAUCAAUAAUAAAUCUCUUAUAGGGAGAUUGAUUCCCGUAUAAGGCAGCUCUUGCGUCAUCUCUUUCAUGAAUCAUGUUAUCAAUAAUACACCUUAUUGAAGAUGCCAAAAAUUCGAAUGUAGCAUUUUUUUUUUCCUGAAAAUUUGAAAAUAUUUGAAUUUAAUUAAUUUGAAACUCUGGUUAAAUCUAAAUAUAUAAACCUAAAUGAUAUUUCAUUUUUCUUUGUUAAAGUCUAAUCAUACUUAUUUUUAUUGGUAAAAACAUCCUAAAAACUAGUUUUUGACAUAUAUGUCUUUAAAUUAUUAUACACUUUUGUGUUUGUUGUAUUUACAUGUACGAAUAUUUAUAAUUAGAUAUUUGACAGGUACAAACAAAAAAUUAUAUUAAUAUGCUGUGUUAACUUUCAAAAGCCCAUAGUCCUUUUUGGACCAUAAAUAGAUAGAUCCACCCUUGUGUACAGGGCUGAUUUUUCCACAGAGCAGGCGUUUUGACACUAUUCUAAAUUCUUUAUAAAAUCUCUCUUUAAUUAAAUUACCUAAAUAACUAAGAAUAAAUUAAUUUCCUUUUUGUUUUGAAUGAAAAAUUAAUUAAACACUGAAAUAAACUAUUCUUUUAAUUUUUUACGCCCACCCAAUUUCAUAAUUUAUGCUUAUAUUUUAAAAUGCAAUUGAACAUAAUUUUUCUUAAGAAACUUUUAACAAUUAUGAAGAUAGAAAUCAUAUAACAAGAAAAAAAUAUUGUAAGAUUUUAAUAUUUGUAUGCAUUUAUAAUUAAAACAUAAAAGAAAUACUAUUUUUGGGUCAAAUUUAAUGACAAGAUGAUUGAUUUUAAUUUAUCAGUAUUUUAUAGUUAAAUUGGGGUAUCUUAAGCAAUAGGGUACAAAAGGGGUGCUGUAAGAGCUUUUUGCUUUAAGGAUUUUUUUAAAGUAUCUUAAAAGCUCCACUCUUUUUGAUAUAUCUAGAUUAGUGGUGAAUACUCUCUAGAUUAGUGGUGAAUACUUUAUAACAUGGUUUUUUUUUUUUUACUUUUAUAAUAAUACUUGACAUUUAAUAUUUAAAUCCUAAUUUGAAUCUUAACUAUAUGUCACUUAUCUAUUAAAUAAUGAAUAUAAUAUUACUUAUUACUCUAAUCGAUCAUCUAAUAAAUUAAUGUCACAUUUAAUGAGACUUAAAAUUUAGGAUCUAUAGCAUAAGUCACUAGAGUAGGAAAAAAAUUUGAGUUCCUUUACUAGACGAGUAUUUUGAUUAGGAAAAACUCUAUAAUGUUGUAAUUAAAAUGACGGUAUCAAUACCGUGAUAAAUACGAAUUUUUUAAAUCACGCAUAAGGCUAGUAAAUGAAAAGUAAAAUAAAUAAAUCAAUAUAAAGUGGUAAAUUGGCAUCUUAAAACUGCAAACUAAACAAAUACUUAUAAAAAUAACAUAAAACUUGUAAAUCAACAUUAAACUUUAAUUAAAAAAUAGUUUAUUCUCAUUCAAAAAAUAGUUUAUUCAUUUAAUUUAAAUAAAUGAUGAAAAAAUCACUCAUCAAUUGAAAAAAAAAAUUAAAAACAAUUGUAAUAAGUUUUAUUGAAUUGGUUUAACUAUAUAUUCUAUAUUCAUCCUAGGACAUUUACCACAAAAAAAAAAAAUUCUUUCUAUAGAUUUUGUUAGCCUAUAUGGCUAUAGAUAUUGAUUUUGAUGAUAACAAACCACAUAUAUUGAUUAAACAAAGAUUUAUGAAUUGUGCUUUUAUAAUAAGAAAAUGAUGUUAUGGAAUUAAAGUGUUUUGGACUAAAAUGAAAGUAUUUUAAAACCUUUGAUAUUGUUUUAAAAUUUCAGAUUUGGACAUAUUUGAAACUAUUUAAAUAUUUUGGGUCAUUUUAUAAUUUCACAUAGUUUGGGUGAAAUCAUAAUUUCAGAAAGUUUUGAGAUUGACAAAGUAUUAUUUAGAAACUCUGAAAUUGGACCUAUUUGAAAGCUUUCAUAACGUUUUGGGCCAUAAUAUAGUUUUAUAAAGUUUUGGGGUCAAACUAUAAAUUUAGAAAAUAUUUCACGGUAGCAGUUACUGUAGCAAGCGUCUAACCGGAUAUGGUAAACGGCAAUCCGAAUUUUAGGCAGUAAGCUUCUGGAGCAUAAACGACUAUCCGGAUUUCAAAAGCGGCUAUCCGGAUUUCAAAAGCGGCUAACUGGAUAUGAAAAGCGGCAUGCCGGAUAUUCUGAAAUUCAAAUUUUUGCUUUAACGGUAACAUGAAAGCGGCUAACCGGAUUCCAUAAACGGUAAGCCGGUUAUGACCAAAAAGUGCAUAACGACUAGUUUUUGAGCUCAAACUAUAUAAACUCAAAACCAAUUCAUUUUUGGUAAUCUUGGCAAGCAAAAAAAAGUGCACACAACAUAUAUUGAGUUUCAAUUUCGUAAAUCAUCAUUUAUUAAAUCAUCUUUGUUCUUCAAUUUGUAUAUCCACUCUUAAAAGAGAGUUUCAUUGUUGUAAUUUUCAUUUCUCAUCAAAUUGUGAGUGUACAAGUGUGAGAAACACUUGGGGUGAAGAGAUUGGAGAGAUAAUCUCUUGUUGUAAAGGUUCAUUGACACCUUGAAGUCAAUUGUAAAUGUUUGAAGCCUUGGAAAGGCUCGGAUAGUGAAAUCCUCAAGUCCGGUGUGCUUGGAGGCGUGGACGUAGGCGGGAAUUGCCGAACCACAUAAAAAUCCUUGAGUUUGCUUUCUCUUCCCUUGCUAAUUUUUUAUUGUGCUUUCAUUGAAUUUAUUAUUUUCGAAUUUAUUAAGGCAUUAGAUUGGAUUGUUGUGUGGUUUGCUUAGCUUAAUUUUUAAAAUCUCAAUUCACCCCCCCUCUUGGGUUGCCUAGUUAGUAUUUCAUUUGGUAUCAGAGCGAGGUGCUCUUGUGUAGACUUAACCAUCUAGAGUUAAAGAUCAAUGGCAACCCAAUAUGACUCAACAUUUAGGGAAUGACAGUCCACAAUUAGACCACCGUUCUUUGACAGAAAUGACUACUCGUAUUGGAAAACUAGGAUGAGAAUUUAUUUACAAGCACUAGAUUAUGAAAUUUGGGAAGUUGUUUGUGAUGGUCCUUUUAUGCCUUGGAUUAAAAAUGAAGUCGGGGAAGAUAUUUCAAAACCUUCACGGGAAUGGAAUGAAUUGGAAAAGAGAAAAGCUACUCUAAAUUCCAAAGUUAUGAAUGCCUUGUUUUGUGCACUAGAUAAGAAAGAAUUUCAUAGAGUAUCUAGUUGUGAGAGUGCUAAUGAAAUUUGGCACAAACUUGAAGUUGUUUAUGAAGGCACGAAUCAAGUGAAAGAGUCUAAAAUUUGUAGGUACACUCGGCAAUAUGAAUUGUUCCAAAUGGAACAAAAUGAGAGUGUGUAUUCUAUGUAUACUAGAUUUACGGACAUAGUGAACACUCUAGGAGCCCUAGGAAAGACUUUUUCAAAUAGCGAGAAAGUUAAGAAAAUUAUUAGGUCGCUACCUAAGGAAUGGAGACAAAAAAGGACUGUAAUUGAGGAAGUCAAAGAUUUAAAUAUCUUACCUAUUGAUGAUUUAGUUGGUUCUCUUAUUUCUUAUGAGGAAGACUUGGCAGCCGAAAAAGGCAAUGGGGAGAAGAAUAAAAGCAUUGCUCUCAAAGCCUCAAAAUAUAAGAGUGAUGAGGAAAGCGAGCUGGAUGAGGAGGAGAUGGAUAUGCUGGCUAGGAAGUUCAUAAAUUUUUUAAGAAAUCCAGUGAGCGAAGAAAAUUUAGAGACCUCAAGAACCGAAAGGAGAAGAAGGAAGUAAUCAAAUGUUAUGAGUGCAAGAAACCUGGCCAUAUAAGAUCAGAAUGCCCUCUUCUCAACAAGCUCAAAAAGAAAGCAAUGGUAGCCACAUGGGAUGAUAGCGAGGAGGAAACAAGUGAUGAUGAAGAGCAUCAAGAAAUGACAAAUCGAUCUCUUAUGGCAAUUGGAGAUGAAUCGGAUGAUGAACUUGAUGAGGUAAAUGAUCUUCCUACUUAUGAUGAAUUACAUGAUACUUUUAAAGAAUUGCAUGAUGAGUGGAUGAAAAUUGAUAAAAAGAAUACAUGUCUUAAAAAGAAAAUGGUAGAGCUCAAAAAUGAAAAUCAAUCUCUAUGUGCAAAGAUUACAUGCCUAGAAUUAGAGAAUAAAAUAUUGCAUGAUAGAGUUGUAUUAUCAAAUGAGAAACCUAGCACUUCACAUGAGCAUAUAGAAUAUCACAUAGAUGACUUGAAAAAAGAAAAUGAAAUGCUUAAGAAGAAGAGCAAUGAGUUAAAUGAGAUUGUUUUAAAAUUUACAAAUGGACAAAAGAUGUUGGAUAACUUGAUUAAUUCACAAAAAUGUGUGUUUGAUAAAGGAGGACUUGUUUAUAAGUCAAAUUUGAAACAAAAGUAUUAUAAGAACUACUUUGUGAAGAGUACAUCUAUUAACAAUCAAGUUGUAUGUCAUUAUUGUAAUCAAAACGGUCACAUAAAGUUUGGUUGUCCUAUCAAAAGAAAAGUAUAUUAUGGAGUAAAAUGUGUUUGGGUUCCAAAAGGAACCAUUGCUAACACUCAAGGACCCAAUAAUAUUUGGGUACCAAAGGACACAACGUGAAUGUUUUCUUUGUAGGUACCACAAUCAAGGAAUUGGGGAGAAAUUCCUUGAUGAAAGCUUGUGAGGAUAAUCACUUGAGUAUGAUCUAAGAGAAAAAGAUGAGGCAUGAUGAUUUAAUUGUUUUGGUAACAAUUCUUGCCAUAUUAAUUUUGUUGAAUGAAUCAUGAUAAAUGAAUUUGCGAAAGUAUGCUUGUAUGUUUACAUGAUGGAAUUAUCAUUGUGUAUAACAUUGAGUGAUUUAUCAUGAUGUCUUUAUUUGAUUUUGAUGAUUGUAUGGUCUUUGAUUUCAUCUUCUUAAUUGUCUAUCAUCAUUGUCCAUCUCUUAUAUAUGUGUGAACUCAUAUGCCAUUAAUUGUGUUAUAUCAUCAUUCAUUUAUAAAAUUGACAUCAUUGUUUGAUACGAUUUCAUAUGUUUGGUCUUGUAUACAUUUAUGUCUCAUGCAUGAAAUGGCUUAUUGAAAAAUUUUGAAUCUCAAAAUGAUUCAAAAAUUGAUCAAUUUUUAAGCUGAAAAUAAAUUGGUGUGUGUAAUACAAGUCUAAGAAUUUACUAAACUUAAAAAAUAUUCUCCAUAUUUUAACCGAUAAACCUCUUCUAAUCAAUCGAAAAACCAUUCUUCUUAUUGAUUAUUCUCUAAGUCAUAUUCCAGAUAACCGGAUUGGAAAACCAGUAAACCAUUUAAAGAGAAUUUGGUUUCUGGAAAGAACCGGUCAGCCGGUUAUGAAAUCCGGAAAACCGGAUCUAGUUUGAUGCUUGCUGGACACAACCGGAUAGCCGGUUAUGAGAUCCGACAAACCGGAUUUGCGUUGUUUACUUGCUGCCUCCAACCGGAUAACCGGAUUCGUGACCAUUCAUCACUGGACUUAACCGGAUUACCGGUUAUGUAAACCGGAAACCUGAAUUCACGUUGCACACUCACUGGACCACAACCGGCUAACCGGUUAGUGAAAUCCGGUAAGCCGGAUUCGGGCAUUCAUAUUUUGUUCAUCCUCUUCUCCUUCAUUCAAUCAAUUGGUUACUCUCUCACUAAAAACCACUUCCUCUCUCACGCAAUAUCUCUCUAAAAUCCAUCAAUCUCAUCCUUUUUCACUUCAAAUCCUUUAUACUUGUAUUUGAACACACCAACAUUUACUAUUUUAUUUUUCUUUUAUUUUGCAUUUGGAUUAUAUGGAUGUUUGCUAUGAUUUUGGAUUAUAUGUCUGUUUUGAAUAUGGAUUUGAUAUAGUUAUAUGUUAUGUUCUUUACUUAUGUUUUGGAUAAUUUUGAACUAAUGUGCUUGAUUUGAGGUUUUGAUGAUUGAUAGAGGGAGACAAAUAUGAUAUGUUUUUUGAUAAAAUCAUUUGGUUAAAAUUUUAAAUUGGUCAUAUAUUUAAGGGGAGCAUAUAAUAUGAUUUUGAAUAAUAUGCAUUUUGAACUUUUUUAUUGUCCAAAGGGGGAGACAAAGUAAUAUAUCAUUUCGAUGUUGUUAAAAAGAGGAGAAUAAUAUACACUUUAAGUAUUCUUUUAAUGAUUGAUAUUUGAUUAUGAUGAUGAUUUUGAGAUAAUGAUGAUUUGAUUACAUAGUUGUUUUAUAUGAUAAUUUUAUGUUAUGAGUUGUUGAUUUGGUAAUUAAUGGAAUAAUGGUUCAUGAUAUUUUGGUGUGAUGAUUUGUGUAUGGAGUUGGCUUGUAUCAUGAUUUAUAAUAAUUUGUGAGUAAUAUUACUAAACUUAUAUUUGAGGUAAUGCUUGUUGUUAGGGGGAGAAUGUGUUGAAAUUUCUACUCGGACAAACAUGAGUAAUAAAUUUGUUACUCUUAUUCUUUUCCUUUAAGCUUUCUUUUUUAUGAUGAAGGAGGAGAAUAAUAUAAAAAGUGUUAUAAAAAUAUGCAUGUAUCCAGGGGGAGUAUGCAUGUAUGCAGGGGGAGUCUUUUUAAAUAAUUUUUAAAUCAAAUUUUUAACCUUGCAUUGAUUAAGGGGGAGCUUUUCAUAACUAGAUUAAAUUUUUAUAAUGUGCUUUGUCAUCAUAAAAAAUGAGGAGAUUGUUAGCCUAUAUGGCUAUAGAUACUGAUUUUGAUGAUAACAAAUCACAUGUGUUGAUUAAACAAAGAUUUAUGAAUUGUGCUUUUAUAAUAAGAAAAAUGAUGUUAUGGAAUUAAAGUGUUUUGUACUAAAAUGAAAGUAUUUUAAAACCUUUGAUAUUGUUUUAAAAUUUUGGAUUUGGACCUAUUUGAAACUAUUUAAAUAUUUUAGGUCAUUCUAUAAUUUCACAUAGUUUGGGUGAAAUCAUAAUUUCAGAAAGUUUUGGGAUUGACAAAGUAUUAUUUAGAAACUCUGAAAUUGGACCUAUUUGAAAGUGUUCAUAACGUUUUGGGCCAUAAUAUAGUUUUAUAAAGUUUUAGGGUCAAACUGUACAUUUAAAAAAUAUUUCCACUCUUAAAGAGAGUUUCAUUGUUGUAGUUUUCAUUUCUCAUCAAAUUGUGAGUGUACAAGUGUGAGAAACACUUGGGGUGAAGAGAUUGGAGAGAUUAUCUCUUGUUGUAAAGGUUCAUUGACACCUUGAAGUCAAUUGUAAACGUUUGAAGCCUUGGAAAGGCUCGGAUAGUGAAAUCCUCAAGCCCGGUGUGCUUGGAGGCGUCGACGUAAGCGAGAAUUGCCGAACCACGUACAAAUCCUUGAGUUUGCUUUCUCUUCCCUUGCUCAUUUAUUAUUGUACUUUCAUUGAAUUUAUUGUUUUUAAAUUUAUUAAGACAUUAGAUUGAAUUGUUGUGUGAUUUGCUUAGCUUAAUUUUUAAAAUCUCAAUUCACCCCCUCUUGGGUUGCCUAGUUAGUAUGUCAGAUUUGAUACUACACAUGUUAAUUAAGCAAUUUUUUUUUUGACGUGAAUCAAGUAAAAACAAAAUAGAAAGAUAUUCUUAUAUUACUAGAUGUACAUGAUAUAUCAAUAAAAUUGGAUCUAAUUUUAGUUUUAUAUAUACUUCAUGUAAUUUUAAACUAUGCUUCUUAUUGUACUUAAAUAUCAUUUAGGAUUACUGUCAAGGAGGCUUAAAAGAAUACAAAAUCACCUUAUUUUACAAACAGUGGGGUUUGAAAGUCUAACUUUGAGGAUAGGUUUAUUAUUAAUAAAAUUUCAUACAUAUCAUCACAUAUAUUACACAAACUCAAAACUAUAAUUAUUUAAUUUAGAAUCAAAAUUAGUAAAUAUAUAAGCUAAUCGUCACAUUAUGAGUUUUUAUUUUAUAUUUGUAAGUUUUUUUUUAAAUAACUCUUACAUUAAGUUACUUGUUUUACAUUCUAUUUACAAGUAUUAUAUUCUAUUUAUAUCAUUUAUAUUUUAUUUUAUGCUUAAUGUUGAUUUACCACAUCUAUGUUACAUGUAUAAAUUUUUAUUUUGUUUAUCAAUAAUAUACUGAUUUACCAUUUUUAUGUUAAUUUAUUUGUUUUACCUUCCAUUUACAAGUUUUAUGUCUCAUUUACUUUUUUUAUGUUGUAUUUACACUUUAAUGUUAAUUUACAAGUUUUAUAUUAUAUGUAUAAGUUUUUGUUUUAUUUACUAAUGAUACACCAGUUUACUACUCCUAUAUUAGUUUACUUAUUUUACCUUCUAUUUACAAAUCUUGUAUUCUAUUAAUAUAAUUUACAUUUUAUUUUACACUUAAUGUUGAUUUAUAAGUUUUAUGAUACAUCUAUAAGUUUUUAUUUUGUUUACUAAUAAAACAUUAAUUUACCACUCCUAUGUUGAUUUACUUGUUUUAUCUUCCGUUUACAUGCUUAAUGCUUCACUUAUAUAAUUUAUGUUUUAUUUUAUACUUUAUGUUAAUUAACAAGUUUUAUAUUACAUUGUAAGUUUUUAUUUUAUUUACUAUUGAUACAUCAAUUUAUUACUCUUAUAUUAAUUUACAUGUUUUACCUUUCGUUUAGAAGUUCUAUAUUCCAUUUACAUAAUUUAUAUUUUCAUUUACACUUUAUGUUGAUUUACAAGCAUUAUGCUAUAUUUGUAAGUUGUUGUUUUGAUUAACUAAUUUACAAAUCAUAUUUUAGUUUUAUUGUUUUAUCUUACAUUAAGUCAUUAACAAGUCUUAUGUUUUAUUUAUAUAAUUUAUGUUUGGAUAAAUAUUCAAUUAAUCCCAAUAUUUUGACUUUAAUGCCCAUUUAGUUCCUAUAUUUUAAAAAGUACCUCAAAACACCCAUGUAGUUAAAUAAAUUUUAUUUUUACCCUUGCUUUUGCUUUACUUUUACAAUAAUAGCCUUCCAAAAAAAAUUUAACAUUAAUUAGGUUAUUUAUAAAAAUGUAAUUAUAAAAAUUAACUAAUAAUUAUUUAUUAACAAAUUAAUCAAUAAAUAUCAGUAUGACAGAACUAAUAUUUUUCUUAAACCCAUGCAGUAAUCUUGCAAAUAGUUUAUUUAUAAAUAAAAAUUAAUAUCAACUAACUUAAAGUGAUGUUUAAUAGCCUUACAACAAUUAUAUUAAUAUUUAUUUUAUAAAAAAAUAGUUUAGCAAAUUAAUCUUAAAAGUAAAUUAAUAACAUAAAAUUUUUUAAAAAUAAUUAUUUUAUUUUUCACCAGCUGCAGUUUGUUGAAACUUGGUGAAGACAAAUUGAGAGCUUAGAAAUCUCCAAUGAGAUAAUAAAAUAUAUAUGUUAGGUCUUCGUUCUUUAAAGAGUAGAUCCUAUUGAAAUUUGAAAAGGAAUAUCGAUUACUCACAAAUAAAACAAAUUUGCUGAGGCGGCUCGACUAAGACGUACGGGCAGCAUAACUAAGUCCUCAUAACUCUCAAGUACAGGCAUCAAAAAAUCAAAACUGAGCAUGAUGUGUGAUAUAUAUAAAUAUAUAUAUAUUCCUCUCAAGGACUAUAUAUAGAUUUAUAUAGUCCUCUUAACUCUCAAGGACAGGCAUGAAAAUAUCAAAACUGAGGAUGAUGGGUGAUAUAUAUAAAUAUAUAUAUAUUCCCUGCCUUGUAAGACAAGGUCCUCAAGCAAUUAAGCAAGAAGCAAAUUAAAAUCAUGGCUUCUAUAGCUGAUCGGGAAGAAGAGGCAAAUAAUUUCUCAUAUGCAAUGGAACUGGCAAGUGCAAUAGUGCUACCUGCAGUUAUGCAAGCAGUGGUAGAGCUUGAUGUGUUUGAGAUCAUAAGCAAAGCCGGUCCUGGUGCUAAGCUUUCGGUUUCGGAAAUUGUGGC